rnacentral:lncRNA from 1 species
CCUAAUUCUGAUAUUGUGAGCUACUCGAUGCCUUAGGGCAAAAUCUAGCAAUGUGCCUCAGAUCACCACUAUGAGCAUGUGAUUUUUGCCCGAACUAAAAUAUUCUUACAUAAUUCACAAAAUAAGAUUUUUUUCUAAUUAUUUUAAUUUCUUAUAAAAUUUUUGGGAAUUUCUUGCUAAUUGUUGUUUGCAUGUAGUUGCAUGUUUAAUAUUUUAAAAUAACAAAAAAUACCACAAAAUGUCAAAAGGUUUCAUGCAUUGCAUUUUAGGCUUAUAUUUGAAUUAAGUUGUUAAUUAAUUGUAUUAUUAAAUAAAAAAUCAUAAAUAUUGGUCAUUUUUACAUUUGUAGUUUUAGUUUUAAAUUAGUAAUUUUAUUUCGUUAUUUUUAAGUUAAAUUAAUUGUUCAAAUAUUAGAAAUAAUUAAUUAAGUUUAUUUCACAAAUAAGAUUUGAUUUAGGACCUAAGCUAGGUUUUAAAAUAAAAGAAAAAGAAAAGAAGAAGGGAAAAAACAAAGAAAAGAAAAAGGGGGCGGUUUGGGCUAGCCCAAUUUUUUUUAAAACAAUAAAGCCACCCCAGCCCAAUCUCCACUAUUCAAAAAUCCGAUCCAACCCCUCACUAAUCCAAACGACGUCGUUUGGCGUGUUUUGAUCUGGGCCGUUCAAAUUCUACAAUCCUACGACCUAGAACUAACUCCCCAAAUCCUUAAAAAUGUCUAAACCCCUCCCCCACCCCAAACCCUAAAGACCACUCCCAUUACUCUCUCUCUCUCUCUCUCUCACCCCUGUCUCUCACCAUCGUCCGCCGCCGACCAAAAAUUGCCUAUGGUGGCGGCGACACCACAAACCACCCCAAAAUUAUACCACGCACUCCCCAUCUUCCCCUCAACCCUAAUUCAUCACCAAUUUUCCCAAAAUCCCCACCAAUAUUCUCCAAUUUCAAAUAUCAGAAACCCUAAAACCCAAAUUUUUCCCUUUUUGAUUUUUGUGAGCAAAUUCACCCGUUUUGACUAAAGAUUUACGUUGGUCAAUUGUUCUUGACAAGAAUAAUUGGUUAAUGUUAGUCUUGGGUCACUUCGAAGUUUAUCAAAUUCCGACCAAGUCAUCACUAACCAGCCAAGCUUCGUCGCCAUCGUCAUUCGUUGAUUCGCCUCGUUUGUCCACUUAUUUCCGGCCAAAUCAGUAAAUAUUUCCUUUCCCUUUUUCUUGUUUCUUUUUCUGUUUUUGGGAUCACUAGUCAGGUGUUGAUUAUUAUUUUGAUUUGCCCAAGUAAAAUAGGAUUAGCAUGAUCGUUAGUUUAAUCGCAUGUAUUUAGAUUAAUUGAAUCAAUUUUAAUUAGUUCAGUAAUCUAGUUAGGUGAAUUAGUCGUUUGUUUCUAUUUCAUUUGAUCUUUGAUUUGGUUUUUGAUUGUUCGAUUGCUAAUGUUGAAUGUCAAUUGAAUUAGAAGAGUUUAAGGGGUAAUAAUAGAAACCUUAAGGGGGCAAAAAGUAAUAAGAAAGUGAAGGAAUCUUUCUGUUUUAGCUGUUGAGAAAGUUCUAGAAUAGAGAUAAGGGUCUAAAAUAUAAUAAAACAACUGAAUUAAAUCAGAUUUUUUUUUAUCUGAAUGGAUAGUUGUCCCAACAUUUGUCCACUUUUUAAUAAAAAAAUAUUUUUCCCUAAAUUUUAGGGACUGCAUUUGUUAGAUUAUUCCCUCACCCUUUGCAUAUAUAAGAAGCCUCAUAGUCCCUUCAUUCGACAGAAUUCACAUACGAAAAAUAUUCUCUACACUUCAGAAUUUCCCUUUCAUUUUUGACACUGAUUUUUGCAUUUAAAAAGGAAGGACACCGAAUUUUCUGAAAUUUACACUCACUCACACAAAAUUCAGAAGUUCUGAUUUUCUUUUAACCCUUGGUCUUCUUCAGUUGGUUCUUGAGCUGAAGUUGAAAUUCAUUUCUGGAGUUUCUUCAUUGCUGUUUAUCCUGCUUACCUACUGCUGCUUUUUCUGAGUUUUCUGAGUUUCCUCCUUUAGUUUCCUGACCUUUAUUUGGUCUCAGUUCUGUGAUUUUUGUUGUAAGUAUGUUAAUUUUCACUUAGAUUAUAAAUGAAGAUUUAAAUGUUUAUCUCCAUGGCUAUAUUCAAUCAAAUGCCUUAUCUUUAAGCUAUAUUAUCAUAUCUACCCUAUCUCUGCCUUUCUUUUAGUGAUUAUUUCUGUUUAUUUGUUGUUUCCUGAUAAAAAAAAUUUAUUAGUUGUUCCAUGUUUCAAAGAAUGUAUGAGAUAUGAUGAAGUAUGUUGAAACUUGAUGUUAAUCUAUAUGUUGUUUUCAAUUAGAAUGGUAGCUUUGUCUAUUUAGCCAUCUCAAGCUUAAAGCUACUCAUUUUCAGAAUUUGAACUUGAUUCUUACGAAUCGAUAAAGGGCAGGAGACUACUGAAGUCAGUAGAAAGAUUUCUUAUGAGUGUGUGGUGGUAUAGAGAUUUUAAUCAUAUCUCUUAAGUGGAUUAAUGUGUUGAAUUUUAGUAAAGAUGCUUACAUAAGUGUUGAUAUGUAUAAAUGAGUAUAAAUUAACAGAAUUCAUCUUGUUUUUAUAUUCAGCUUCAGUUCUCUUAGAAUAACAAGUUUUUUAAUAAUUUGUUCUUCAAAACAGUUAUCAUUUCCCCAUUUAUCCUAUUGUUGUAUGAUUUGUUGCAAGGCAUCUAUCAGAUGAAGCAUGAAUAGUCUAUCAAUUGAUUACAUGUAAUUUUAAUAUGAGAAUGUUUGUUUAUAUGGUAUUCGAUUGGGCUCCAAAUGAGCCUGCUUAGACAGCUGAAUAUUCCCUUGUUUUGGGCCCAUAUCGGCUCAUGAACAAAAUAAAGCUUAUUUGUUUUAGAGCCAACAUGGAACAUCUGAUUUCUCUUCUCCAUUAUUGAACGAAAAACUCUAAAUGCCCCUCCCCAGUAAUUCUAAAUUUUAUAUUAUCAAGCACAUGAAGCGUGGAGUGUUCCUCCUUUUUCCAAAACUGUGCAAUUUUUAGCGUUUCCUAAGCAACAUAUAGCUAAUCCCAAGUUCUACCCUGAUAAUCUAAAAUCACGCAAUAAAUAACUUAUAGGUUUUACUUUAAACCCGAAUAAAGUAUAUGAGAAUAAACAACUUAUGAACAUUUGUGGAAAUGCUUUUAGAUACGUAUUUAAUCAAGCCACCGUAAUUAUGUACACGUUCGCGUGACAUGAUUACGAUUUCAAAAUGAAUACUCGUAGAAAUGCUUGGAGAUGCGGUUUAAAUUAUUAUUGUGAUUGUGUACACAUUCGCGUGACAAAAUUACGAUUUUGAAAAUUAAAUUGAGGUAUGCAUUCGCACAACUUCGGCCAAACAACCUUAAUAAUAAUAAAGUUUAGUUAAUUGUGUAUACGUUCGCAUGACAUGAUUUUAGCGCCCCAAAUAAAAUGAGUUUACACACAUGUAAUCUAUUUCAAGAUUAAAUCCAUAACGCCAUAAUUAAAAGCGGUAAAAAGGGUAAAAGUACAUAGGUUCUAAAAUGAGUAAUUAAACAAAAUAAUUAAGCCAGGUAUGAAUAAAGCGACCGUGCUAAAACCACAAAACCCGGGAAUACCUAACACCUUCUCCCGAGUUAAUAGAAUUCUUUACCCGAUCUUCUGUGUUCGCGGACCAUAAAUAAGAGUCAAUUUCCUCGAUUUGAGAUUUAAAAUAAACCGGUAACUGGGGACACCAUAAAUAUCCCAAGUGGCGACUUUGAAAUUAAAUAAAUAAUCUCAUUUAUAUUAAUAUCACUUUAAUUGGAAAACUCCCCUAUCCCCUCGAAAAAAGAAGGUGUGACAGCUCUAGCGACUCUGCUGGGGAUCGAACCCAGAAUCUCUGGUUCAGGGUUCAGAGUUCGAGCUUGUUAAUAUGAUUUAUACCUGGCUUUAUUUAUUGUUGAUAUUACUAUAUUUUUGGGCCUAAUGUGUUAAUUGCCGCUUAUUUACCGCUUUGAUAUUAUUUGAAUUGUAUCAAACUGUCUUCUUACGCCUCCCUUCUGAGUUUUCUAACAAUAUGGUGCACAUGUAUGUGUGGCCCACUUUUUUAUUAGACUUCAUACCAAAUAGAACGAGGCUGGGUCAUAAACUAGGCCGGGUAGACUUUCGUGCUUCCGGUACAUUGCCCCACCUCGGCUCGAGCUGUCCGCUCGGGUAAGCCAUGUCUAGAACACAACCCUAGGUUUAAACCUAGAAUAACAUAGCACCAUAUCGGAUCCCUAGUAGGAACGUUUAUUUGCAUCACGUGCAUUUGACUUUGGAGACUCACAGAGAUUGAGUCCGGAUGUACUCGAAAUAAAACACCAUCCCGAUGCAUCUUACGUGCUAUUUGCACAUUUAUUUGCUUCGGCUUGCAUGUUGAUCGGCUAGGAAAAGAAAAUCAAGAGAAAAAACCAAGAGUGAGGUAGGAGAGAAAUUGAGCCUGAUUCUGAAAACCCCGGUAUUUAAAAAUAUCCUGAAACUCUGCCAAAAUAUUUCAAAAAAAGAAGAAGAAAAAAAAUGAUUGAAAAUUGAAAAAAAAGUCAUUUCAAAAUGGGUGAAUAACAUAUUUUCCCGAUUAUGUCAAAGCUGACCGAACUAUGCAGGUUUAAUUCUCACCGAAUGUGAGAUACGUAGGCAACCUACAUAGGGUUCGGCCUCACUUUUGCAAAAAUAACCAAAAAUAAAAUAAAUAUGUCCAGUGCUUUAUUCAAAGGAAUAAGCCGACCCAGCUUCAGUUGCGUAUUGAUCCAUUUUUCCCGGAACAGCUUUAGAACAUCUUCAAAUUGUUCAAGGGCUAUUCUCGCAAAGAAUGGGCGUGUCUGUCAAUGGGACAUCACUUUUUUCAUAAAGUGCCCUUCUCCGGCCUCAAACUUUAUUUGAAAGUGUGAAGAAGCCAUUGUUGCAAAAAUAGCCAUCCGUUGCUAAUAUUGCAUAACUAGCCACCCUCCUUUGAUUUUUCUUUAAGAGAAUUGAAAACUUGUUUUGCAAAAGAGUCCACUGGAGUCAGCCCUAACCCUAACCAUCUACAGGUACAAAAUGAACACUGUCCAGAAUAUGCCAUUAAUAGUUGUAGAGCAUGCCCCAUUACAGCUUCAAAUGUGGUGGUAUGACUUAGAAAAAGAUGGUCAAGAUUGGAUAACAUAUCAUUUGGGCGCUCUCAUAGACAUCAUGAAUGUUAAACCGCGGGAUGAUUUGAUUAAGGCCUUAGUAACUUUCUGGGAUCCUGUCCACAACGUCUUUCGCUUCUCAAAUUUUGAGCUUACUACCACCUUGGAAGAAAUAGCCAGAUAUGCUGGUUUUGGCCGGGACUUGAGAAAUUAGCAACUUAUAUUCCCAAGGCCUCCCUCUGUGCACCGCUUCUUUGAUCUCUUGAACAUCAGUAAGCAAAUCAGGAAGACCAAUAUAAACAAAGGAUGUUGUUCUUUUUAAUUUCCUGUACUCCAUGUUUGGUCACUCAACUGGGUUUGAAACACAUGAAAAGGGGUUAAACAACAAGCAAAAUAAGAGUACCUGGAAAAUUCAUCGUCGCUUUGCUUUCAUAGUGGCAUUUCUGGGAAUUAUGGUCUUCCCAAAUACAGAAGGGACAACAGAUAUCUGCAUGGCCAGAAUUGCGCAAGUGCUUAUUGCCAAAGAAGAUCACACGUUGGCUCCAGUGAUAUUGGCGGACAUCUAUCGAGCAUUAACAUUGUGUAAGUCCAGGGCUAAGUUUUUUGAAUAUUGUAAUAUUCUUCUGCAAAUGUGGUUGAUCGAGCAUCUCCAUCAUCACCCCAAAUUCAUGAGUUAUGUCCUGAGAAAGAUUAACUUCAUCGGGAGUUAUGAGGAGAGGGUGAGAGAUUACAAUUCGCCAAAAGGGUUUGAGCCUGGAUUUUCCACCUAAGAACUCUAAAGGCAAGCCGGAUUGAAUAGACUUUGGGUUGGCGAUGGGUUUAAGAAGUGUCCAACCAUACGCACCGCAGAGAGUUUUAAGGCAGUUGGGAAGAAGAUAUCAAGUGGUGCCCGAAGAUGAAUAGUUGAGUACCCAAGUCAUUGAGCUACACCUAGAAUCUCAAUUACCUGUGGCUUUAGUCCAACAAGAUUGGAAUGGUUGCCGAUAUAUGAAAGAUGACACCCAGGUACCAGAUCCCGCGAGAGGAGAAGUGGACCCAAAUUAUGCCAUAUGGUUUGAGAGAAGGUCUUGUGCUAAUGAUGAGCCAUAACUAGAGCCCAAGCCCGAAAGUCCCGCCAAAAGACCUCAUGUUCAGGCUUUUGAUGAUAAAAUCUGAGAAAGGUUGGCCUGGGGAGAAAAGGAGAAGAAAUAUCAAGCCACCUUUCAUACCUUAGAAGAAAAUUUGAGAAACGUCUCAUUUAAUAGUGACUUACAUGCGCAAGAAACUGAAAGUGAAAGGAGAAGGUUGACCCGGGAGAACGAGGCGCUCCGAUCCCAACUUCGGGACAUGAGGAUAGCUAUUGAAACGCCUGUGAGGAGCGAGAAGGAUGAAAAACUCAUAAGAAGUUUAAGGUUAAAGGUGCAGGAUUAUUGGUUUAACCUGGCAAAGGUCGAGGAUGAAUUGGAAAAAACUUAGGAAAAAUUGGCAAAGAAUGCAAAAGAACGGACAAGGUUUGCUCAGCAGACAGAGGAGUCACGUUUUUAAAGAAGAAGCUGACUACUCUUGAAAAUGAAAUGGCCCGGCAAACAAAGAAUUUCAAAGUGGAAAGAGAGCAUUGCUAUACAUUGAUGUACCGAUUGGAAGAAGACAGGCAGCAAUUGCAAGAGCAAAACCAUACGGCCAUGCAGGUGUUGGAGGCCCAGUCUCAGCAAAUUGGAUGCCUUGCUCCAAGAGAAGGGUGUCAUUAGAAUGAGGAUUAAAGAAUCGCUGAUUAUGUUGUGAUGAAGUGCCAUAAAUGUAAAGAUAUGACUAGGUCCAUGUUCUUUGCUGCUGUGAUGACCUUUGUCCAUCAGGUAAUGGCUAAUUUAGAGUAACUUCAAGAAGAGACUACACACAGUCUCGCGUCAAGACCGACUGAUGUCCCGCGGGCCCCUGGAGUAGCAUUUGAGGCUCUUAUGUAUUCCUGAUUUUCUUUUGGCUUUGAGUCUGUAUUUCACCUUUUCGAGUAUGUUAGUCUUUUCCAAGUUCGUUGUUUUUCUGUUUUGAGUCUGUAUUUUCCCUUUUUUAUCGUCAGUAUUUCCGAGUUAUUGUAAUAGAAAAACCUAAAAAUAUUUUAUUUAAUGAAUUAUUGAAAACCUAAAAUUUUCUUUUCUUUUAUUUUGCAUUUGUUCCCUGAACUAUGUAAUGAUCUGAUUCAUACGGCAUCGUGAUACGUAGGGAAUCUUCACCAAAUUCAAUCAUAGCAAUAGACAAUCUGAGUGAAAGAAUAAACCAGACACAAAAAAGGAAAAAAAGAAAAUUUGAGUGAAAAAGAAAGAUUGAAAAAAAAAUAGGAGUGAAAAAUAGCAAAAGAGAAAGGAAAAGAAAUUAGGAUUUGAAAUCUGAGAAAAGAAAUAGCAAAGUCGGGAUGAAACACACAGCCGUUGCAAAACAUUUAGAAAUGUUUAACUGUUCAGAUGCAUUGCAUCCCCAAUAUGUGAUUUCUCUAUCUAUUAAAUGUCUCAAACUAACCAGUCUGUUGUGUGUGCAAAUUAUAUAGUGCCUGUUUCAGGUGGUUGGUUUUGUGGUAAUCUGGCUUUCCAUCCUUACUUCACAAGAUCUAAAGGCAGUGCUCCUAUGGCUUCUGAAAGUCAUCUACCAAUGAUUGAACCUGAGGAUAGCCCGGUAUCAUCUAUCCCACAGUAAGAAUCAGCAACUACUGAAGAAAACAUAAGGUUGCGUUGCCGUAUGUUAGAUAUGUGGGACGCUUGGUCUAAUGGCAAAGAACUGCCCAGUACGAUCCCUGGAUUUCCUGAACUACUUCCUAGAACAAGCGAAACCUCCAAUGUCCCCAUUCCCGUAACCAACACAUUCAUCCCGUUUGGGUACCCCACCAUAUCAGCUAAUUUCAUCGGUAUUCCUUCUGAGGUUCGCCCUCAUGCACCAUUUUCGGGAGUAUCUUCUACAGUAUUCACCGUGCCACCAGUAUCCAAUACGGCAUAACCAACAGUGCCUAGGCCAUGCUUCGAACCGUCAGCCUUCAUUUUUCAAGUACCACAAUUUUAGCUAGACACAACCCAUGUCACCCCAAACUCCUAUCCUUAACACCUGUAAUACGAGUCUCUAGUGGAAUAGAAAAGAACGGCAAAAAACCCCGAGCAAGAAGAAAUGGCCCGGAAGAUGAAAAGUCUCGAACAAAUUCUAAAGAACAUGCAAGACCUGAGUGGCCAAAAGAGUAUUUUGUACUCUGAUCUGUGCAUGUUUCCUCAUGUUCAUUUGCCAGUUGACUUUAAAACGCCAAAAUUUGAGAAAUACAACGGGCAUGUAGACACGAUCGCUUAUUUGAAAAGAUAUUACAAUUAGUUGAGAGGGGCGGGUGGAAAAGAAGAACUUUUGAUGGCCUAUUUCGGGGAGAGCUUGAUGGGAACUGCGUCAGAAUGGUACAUGGACCAGGACAUCUCCCAUUGGCAUAUAUGGGUCAACUUGGCCCGAGAUUUCAUCAGGAAAUUUCAAUACAAUGUUGAUAUAGCCCCAGAUAGGAAUUCCCUGACCAAUUUCAAGAAGAAAACUGCGGAAAGUUUCCGUGAAUAUGCUAUCAAGUGGCGUGAGCAAAUAGCUCGAGUGAAACCACCAACGAAUAAGAUAGAAAUGGUAAGUGUUUUCUUAUAGGCCCAAGAGGCCGAUUACUUUCAGAACAUGAUGUCUGUUAUGGGCAAACCAUUUACGGAGGCCAUAAAAAUUGGAUAAAUGGUAGAAAACGACCUGAAAACAGGCCGGAUCAUAAGUCAAUCUGCUUUAAGAAGAAGAGGGAAGAAGGAGCCAUGAUGGCUUCAAGUUCGAGAAUCUCUUGUCAUUCCCGUGAUUAUUCUUACUCGCCUUCCAGAACCCCACAAAACUACUACUCCCAUCAAGAUGCAGCAUAUGUCGUGGCAUCGCCUCCCUAUGAGGUGAUGAAUGCCCAAUGCUAUACAUGGCCACAACAACACUACAAUCAAAAUAGAUCUCCACCUCCAAGAAAUAACCAUCCUCACCAAGCUCCAUAUAACCUUGUCCACCACAGAACAACUACCAACAUAAUACAUGCCCCCGUGAGCCUCCCAGGAAAAGCAACUUCACCCCUAUUGGUGAAUCCUACUCUAGCCAUUUUCCUAAAUUAAUCCAGAUGGGCCUACUGCAACCUGUGCCUCAAAACCAUCAAAAUCCAGAAUCUCCAUCACACCGUCCCGGUACCAGGUGUGCCUAUCAUUUGGGGGAAGAGGGUCAUGAUAUAGAGGAUUGUUGGACUCUCAAGAGGGCGGUUGAGAAUUUGAUAGAACAAAGACGAGUGGUGCUGAGGGACGAGAACGUCCCCAAUAUGACUAACAAUCCAUUAUCGGCUCACAAAAAUGGGCCGAUCAUUGAAAUGAUUUGUUAUGAUAAAGAGUUUGAUCCACCUUUGAAAGCCAUCAUUGCCAUUGUCGGUUCAGAUGCAAUACCCAAAGCGGCGGCGAAAUAAGUCAAAAAUGAGAAGAAGAUCACUCCAACCCCUCAAGUUGUAGAAAAAGCUGUGGAAACAAAAACUGGGGCAGCACCUACUAAGGACACAAUUCUCUAUAUUCCUAGGGCCCCUAGGAAGGAACAACUCAUGUUGAACGCUCCUAAAAGAUUUGAGCAAAAGAAAGUCACGCUGAAUAUGCCAAAGAUAUAUGUGCCAAAGGGGACUUAUGUGGCGCGGGUGCCGGUAAUUUCACCAAAGCUGACUGAGCCCGUGGUUAUCAGCCUGCACCAUAGAGCCCCAUGAGAAACCCCAUUGCAAUCCCCUGGAAUUACAACAAAACAAUAGUUACUUACAAGGGGAAAGAGAUUAUGGGAGAGGUGAAUGAAAUGAACCAAUCUGGGAGGUACCACCACCCGUAAGAGUUGAAGAAAUCAAAACUAAACAAGUAGAAAGGGUUUCCACCCAAGAAGCCUUUGAGCGCUGAAGAAGCAGAAGAGUUUUUCCGAAAAAUGAUAACUUCGGAAUAUGCCAUAAUUGAUCAAUUCAGGAAGACCCCUUCCCAGGUUUUGCUUUUAUCCCUGUUGUUGAGCUCAAAUGAACAUCAGAAGGUACUCUUGAAAACAUUGAACGAGGCAUAUGUCCCGAUUGAAACUUCAGUAGAACAAUUGGAAAGAAUGGCUGAACGUUUCUUCGAAGUCAACAAGAUUUCUUUCAGCCGUGAUGACUUGCCCCUGGAGGGAGCCACCCACAACAAAGUCCUUCACUUGACUGUCAAAUGCGAAGGUUAUUAUGUGAAGAGGGUCAUGCUAUAUGGUGGGUCCAGGGUCUAAGUUUGCCCUUUCUCAAUGCUUCAGAGGAUGGAAAUUGGAACAGAAAUAAUUCAACCACAUAAUGUCUAUGUGCGCGCUUUUGAUGGAGUCAAGCAAGACACAAUAGGGGAAAUUGAUUUGAUUCUGACCAUUGGUCCUGUGGAUUUCGAAGUGACUUUCCAGGUUCUGAAUAUGGAUACUUCGUAUAAUUUUCUCCUAGAAAAACCAUGGAUACACGUUGUAGGGGUUGUGCCCUCCACUCUCCACCAAAUGGUCAAUAUUGAACAUGAAAACUAAUAAAUUGUCGUCCACGAGGAGGAUGAACAGUCCAUUUACAGGGACCCGUCAGUCUCACAUCUCAAAGCUAGAGAAGGAAGUGAGCACAUUGUCUAUCAAGCCUUCGAACUUGUGGUCGUCGACCAAUGUGAAGAAGGGGACCCAUUUCCUCAACCUUGCUUAUCAAAUGCAUCAGUCAUGAUAGUUAGUGAAAUGAUUAAACAUGGGUACAAGCCUGGGAAAGGGCUCUGGGUAUCUCCACAAUGCAUCACAGAGGCCAUCACUUGGACUGUCAAUAAGAAGUUCUUCAGCGUAGGUUUCCAAGCUACAAAUGCCAACAUAAAAUGGGCUGAUGAGCUCAAGAAAAAUGGAUGGGUCCUGCCUCAGCCCGUUUCGCAUCUCGCCAAGUCAUUUGUUAAACCCAAGUAUAGAGAAGAAGAGGAAGAUGAAGCCUUCACGGCCGAGGAUAUUGAGGAUAUUUGUGAAACAAUAAAACGAAUGUUGUACGAGUCCCGCAUGGUCCAGCCGGGGGAAGGCACGAGCAUUGCUGAGGUGCUGUACAUAGGACCAAAUGCCAAGCUUCAGAAUUUGAAGGCUACUCCAUUCCCUGUCAGACAGGAGUCCCGGUAGUCCAGUCUUGCCAUCUUUUCUACAUUAUGAGUUAUUUCAGGGUGUAACUCGAAUGCUUUUAUUUUAUUGUCUUUUGAUUUCGAUGUAAACCCUCAUAUCUUCAAAUUCAAUGAAAUGAAAUCAAUAUUUCAUCGUCAAUAGGUGUCUCCUUUUUUGUUAUUCUGAUUUUGUUAUUUUUCUUAUCUUUUUCUUUUUGGUUCUAAUAAUGCGGACUUAAAUAACAUGACAUACUUGCAGACUUCAUGCCCAGAUCCUAAAACGUUGUCUAACUGUGAAAUAAUGAAUCAAGAACCGGAAUAUGAUGAAGAUGAGGCUUUUAGGGAAAUAAAUCGAGAAUUGGAACAAUUUGAGAAUAAGCCUCAGCCAAACUUAAAUGAAACCGAGCUAGUUAAUUUGGGCAGUCCAGAAGAGGUUCAGAAAACCAUGAUAAAUAUUCACAUUGAUGAAAGAACUAGAGAUGCAAUGAUCCAAUUGUUGUUUGAAUUCAAAGAUGUGUUUGCAUGGUCCUAUGAUUAUAUGCCAGGACUGAGUGUUGAUUUGGUAGUACACACAUUGCCAACUUAUCCCGAUUAUCCACCUGUCCAACAAAAGCAAAGAAAGUUCAAAACGUAUAUCAAAUAUAAGAUCAAAGACGAAGUCACCAAACAAUUGAAAGUUGGCAUGAUCCAAGUGGUACGAUACACCACAUGGUUGAUUAAUGUGGUCCCAGUGCCGAAAAAAGACGAGAAAACCCGAGUGUGUGUUGAUUAUCGGGAUUUGAACAAAGCAAGCCCCAAGGACAACUUUCCAUUGCCAAAUAUCCAUAUUCUUGUUGAAAACUAUGCCAAACACGAGAUAUAGUCUUUCGUGGAUUGUUAUGCUGGGUACCAUCAGGUUUUGAUGGAUGAAGAAGAUGCAGAAAUGACGACUUUCACCAUACCUUAGGGAACUUACUAUUAUAGGGUCAUGCCAUUUGGUUUGAAGAACGUCGGGGCAACUUACAUGAGAGCUAUGAUUUCCAUCUUCCAUGACAUGAUGCACAAGGAAAUUGAGGUGUAUGUGAAUGAUGUGAUCAUUAAAUGCAGAACGCAUGAAGGCCAUGUGCGAGAUUUGAGAAAGUUCUUUGAGCGUCUGCGCUAGUAUGACUUGAAAUUGAAUCCAGCAAAAUGUGCAUUCAGAGUUCCAUCUGGGAAACUUCUGGGGCUUAUAGUCAGCCAGAGGGGUAUCGAGCUAGAUCCAACAAAGAUAAAGUAUAUUUGAGAUUUUCCACCUCCGAGAACAAAGAAAGAGGUCAUGAGUCUGCUAGGAAGAUUGAAUUACAUCAGCAGGUUCAUUGCUCAGCUGACUACCAUGUGUGAGCCUGUAUUUAAGCUGUUGAAGAAAGAUGUGUCUAUCAGAUGGACGGAUGAGUGUCAAGAAACUUUCGACAAAAUCAAAGAAUAUCUGUCAAAUCCACCAGUGUUGGUUCCGCCCGAGCUUAAGAGACCUUUGUUCUUAUACCUGACAGUCUUGGAAAAUUCUUUUGGUUGUGUCCUAAGGCAACAUGAUGUAACCGGGAAGAGAGAGCAAGCCAUAUACUAUAUGAGUAAGAAGUUCACCAAUUAUAAAGCCAAGUACACCUUAUUGGAAAGAACUUGUUGCGCCCUAACUUGGGUCGCCCAAAAGCUUAGACAUUAUCUGUUGGCCUACACCACAUAUCUCAUAACCAGAAUGGAUCCUCUAAAGUACAUAUUCCAAAAACCAAUGCCCACAGGAAGGGUAGCAGAAUGGAAAGUGCUGCUCACUGAGUUUGACAUUGUCUAUGUCACUUGCACGACGACGAAAGCUCAAGCCUUGGCGGAUCAUCUAGCUGAGAAUCUGGUUGAUGAUGAAUACCAACCCCUAGGUACAUAAUUUCCGGAUGAGGAAGUAAAUUCAGUUGAAGUAAUUCCAAAAGACAUCAAUGCUUGGAAAAUUUUCUUUUACGGAGCUGUAAAUGCAAAAGGUGUCGGGAUUGGGGAAAUUUUGAUUUUGCCCACUAGUCAGCACUAUAUGGCCAUAGCCCGACUUUGGUUCUUUUGUACAAACAAUACUGCUGAAUUGAAGCCUGCAUUAUGGAUAUGAAUAUAGUAGUUGACAUGGAUGUGGAAGAAUUGUUAAUCAUGGGAGAUUUUGACUUAAUUAUUCGGCAAGCUCAAGGUGAAUGGGAAACUCGAGACAUCAAGCUUAUCCCAUACAGGCAACAUAUGAAAGAUCUUAGAAAAUAGUUCAAGUCCGUCAAGUUCAAGUAUAUUCCUCGAUUCCAUAAUGAGUUAGCUGAUGCACUAGCUACUUUGGCCUCAAUGUGGCUGUAUCCGGGCAAUGUCCAUAUUGACCCGCUGGAAAUCCAAUUUCGAGAAAGACAUGGUUAUUGUAAUGCAAUUGAAACAGAACCAGAUGUUUAGCCAUGGUACCAUGACAUCAAAAGAUUUUUGAAAACAAAGGAAUAGCCCGAGAAGGCCAGUGGAGAUCAAAAGAGAACUAUUAGGAGGCUUGCCAGCAGUUUCUUCUUGAGCGGAGAAGUCUUGUACAAAAGAACUCCAAAUCUGAAUCUUUUUGAGGUGUGUAGAUGCCCAAGAAGCUGAAAAGAUCAUGAACGAAGUGCAUUCAGGAGUAUGUGGGCCCCACAUGAACGGAUAUGCCAUUGCAAAGAAAAUCCUUCAGGUAGGUUAUUACUGGGUGACCAUGGAAACGGAUUGCUUCAGCUUUGUCUAGAAGUGCCAUUAGUGUCAGAUACACGGUGACCUGAUUCAUGCACCACCUUCAGAGUUGCAUCCUAUGUCAGCACCUUGGCUAUUCGUUGCUUGGGCUAUGGAUGUCAUUGGGCCAAUCGAGCCGAAAGCUUCAAAUGGGCACAGAUUCAUCUUGGUUGCCAUUGAUUAUUUCACAAAGUGGGUCGAAGCAGCCACUUUCAAAGCCGUCACCAAGAAAAUGGAGGUGGACUUUGUGCAUUCCAAUAUUAUUUGUCAUUUGGUAUUAUCACGACCUAAACCGAUGGGCCACAACGGGCACUCGGUACCUUACUCAACCGAGUACCGACAUAACGUAUCUUUUCGUAUCAUGUCAUCAUAGGUAAAUGAGACGGAAAGGCUACUGUAGGAUAACUAGAAUAAUACAUGUAAUACCAACUUAUACAUAACACAUAUGGGCCUAUACAACCAAAAUAAUCACUCGUAUACUAAACAUAGGCCGACAAGGCCAUACAAACUUUCACGUACAUGACAUCUGUCUACAAGCCUCUAAGAAUAUAUAAUAUCAUAAAGGUUAGAACAGGGUCCCGCCAUUCCAAUUAAUACAUGUACUAAUCAUACUGACCAAAGAAGCAACUCCGGAGCAAAUGGAGUGCACCAACAUCUUUCGCGGAGCUGAUAACCUACUUGGAGGACUCUCGAUCUGUCUAUCGGGAUCUGCGGGCAUGAAAUGCAACGUCCCCAUGCAAAAAGAAUAUCAGUACGAAUAAUGUACCAAAUAUGUAAGGACAUAAGUAAGUACAUAAAAGACAUGGAAGAAAUAUAGAGUAAAUGACUCAACCUGUAAGUCUGGAUAACUCUGUAAAUCGUGAAAUACUUAUAGUGUCAUGCAUAUGUGUAUGAAUGUCAUGUCGUGCAUAGGUACAUGUAUUCAUAACAUCAUCAAGCCUCUGAGGGCAUCCUAUCAUAUCAUCCCGACCACUGUGGACAAAAUCAUCAAUGUAUACCAGCUGAUCAGGUGGUGGUGCGUAUAUAACGCUGAACCUUUUCCCAUAUCCCAUAUAUAUAUAUAUAUAUAUAUAUAUAUAUAUAUAUAUAUAUAUAUAUAUAUAUAUAUAUAUAUAUAUAUAUGUGUGUGUGUGUGUGUGUGCAUAUAACUUCGUCUAGGUAUGUGUCAAUGUACAUGUAUAAAUGAAUGCAAUGCAUGAGAAGUACGUUAAUAAAACCUCUCGAAAUGUCAAAAGAUCAUUAUACCUCUGAUUAAUGUCAUGAAACAAACUUUAUCAACUUGCGUAUUUGUGAGACUCAUGAAUAGAUGAUAGAAUAAUAAGACAUGGAAUUCAAGAACAUAGACAUCUCUAAUACUUCUAUGAAUAGAGUCAUUUAUGAAAUUUGUGCUUUUCUCGUUUCGUUCUUGUCGUAUAGAUCAUGCCAAAAAGAAAGAAGGGAUAGCCUUAACAUACCUGAGUCGAUUCUCUUAACAAUCCUCUAACACACGUUAAUUGUGACAAAACACAGAACAAGUUGUAUAAAAAGCUCGAAGCAAUAACGUUGCUUAUGCAAAGACCAUCUUGGCUGAAAUUUUUCCUUAAGUGAUUAGAAUUAACGUAACUUUGAAAUGGGAAGCUUGAAUUAAUCUCUUAGAAAUGAUGUUACUAAGGUAUGGAAAAUUUUGUUUAAAUUCUGAGAGAUUAUAAUUGUCAUUCAUAACAAAAACUUUAAGAGGGUUUACAUUACUGAAGUUUAUGAAAAAUGUUUGUGAGAAUUUUUUCAUAAGACAUUGUAGUUAUUAUUCAAUUCUUUGUAGAUGGCCCCACAAUUAAGCUUGGUGUCAGACUUCUUUCUCAAAAUGUGACACCUUACAAUAUUUAAUGCUUAGUCAUUUAAGUGUAAAUGAUGAUUGCCACGUUGGGGAAGGGUUAAAUCUUAUUCCACUUUUUAUUUAAUUACCUAAUAAUUAAUCAAUUACCCACAUAAUUAAGAAUUUUCUCAAAUUACUCAAAAUACUACUCACUUUUAACAUACCUUGUACACCUUAUUAUCAUGGUCAUAUAGUACCUUGUAUGACACACAAAUACCGGGUAUUAUAGCUCGGAUCAUAUUUUAUCCCAAAUUGUCAAGCUUCACAAAACUCAUUUUCUUCGAUUUGCUUACCCUCAUACCUUUACAAAUUUACUUAUCCCUUGUUUAAAAUAGCAUAAUACUUGUUACCUCAAAAUAAUCCCAUUCCCGAGCUUGCGUCGAUUAACUUUACGAUGAAACCUUAACGUCCAAAAAUGCGGGAUGUAACAUCUCAUUCCUGAGCUUUCAUCAAUUCACUUAUAGCAUACUUUCAUGUACGGAAACAUGGGGUGUAACAGGUAUUCCUAAAACUAUCAUUACUGACAAUGCUACAAACUUGAACAACCACUUGAUAAGGGAGGUAUGCGAAAAAUUUAAGAUUACGCAUUGGAAUUCUACCCCUUAUCGGCCCAAAGCUAAUGGUGUUGUUGAAGGUGCAAACAACAACAUCAAGAAAAUCCUCAGGAAAAUGAUUCAAAGUUCUAGACAGUGGCAUGAAAAGUUGCUUUUGCAUUAUUAGGAUAUCGCACAACCGUGCGCAUAUCAGUUGGGGCCACACUCUAUCUAUUGGUUUAUGGUACUGAAGCCAUAAUACCUGUAGCAGUUCAGAUUCUUUCCUUUUGAAUCAUUGUUGAAGCUGAUAUCGAGGAUGAUGAAUGGGUCAAGACCUAGUUGGAAUAAUUAACUAUGAUUGAUGAAAAGUGGAUGGCCGCAGUUUGCCAUGGGCAAGUGUACUAACAAAGAAUGACUCGUGCCUAUAACAAGAAAGUGCGGCCUAGGAACUUUGAAGUGGGGCAACUCAUUUUGAGAUGUAUUCUCCCACAUCAUGAAGAAGUAAAAGGAAAAUUUGCUCCAAAUUGGAAAGGUCCUUACGUUAUAAGAAGAGUGUUGCCAAGAUGAGCGUUGUACUUGGGAGACAUUGAAGGAAAUGAUCCUGAAACAGCUGUCAAUACAGAUGCGGUCAAGAGGAUUUAUGUUUGACCCUUUUCGCAACUUUAAUACACUCCGAUUGGGAUGGAGAAGGAUUUCAUUCUCGCUACCCAAACACUACUACUCCUUGCAAACCCUUUGACCUGGUUCCCUUUUUCUUUGAUUACUCUCUUUGGAACCUGAAAGUUAUGUUAUACAAAAAAAUGAUGAAAAGAGAAAAAAAGAAAAUAAAAAAAAAGUUUCUUGAACUACGUUCGACUUGAUUCUGAAAAGAUACGUAGGCAGCCUCUGUCUAGAGUUCAGUCAAACCAAAACAAAAAUUCAAAUUCCCCCAAAAGUGAAAUUGGGGCAGAUGUUAUAAUAUUUCGGCAAUGGUUUCACUUGAAAGGUUCUAAAAGUUGUAAUAAAGUCCAAAUUCUUUUUACCCAAAUUCUUUUCAAGUCCUUCCGAUCAAUCGGCAAGAAUGUUCAAGAAUUGGAGGAUACAAUCACUUGGAUCUGAUACAAUCAAAAUGAGAGAAAUAAAAUGAGAGAGUCUUAGUGAAAACCCUCACGGGCGCCGUAAGGCGAUGGUAAAAAUGAUGAAAAUUAAAACAAAUAAAAAAGAAGAAGAAAGAAAGAAAAGGAAGAAAGUCAAAAUCAUGGUAGUAUAGGGUCUCCAAUCCCUAGCUGCAUUUUCCAACAUGGGGUCUCCACUCCCUAGUUGAUUUUAUUUUAGAUAUAGAGUCUCCACUCCCUAGUCGUUUUUCCAACAUAGGGUCUCCACUCCCUAGUUGAUUUUGUUUUAGACAUAGGUCUCCACUCCCUAGUUGUUUUUCCAAAACAGGGUCUUCACUCCCUAGUCGCUUUUCCAACAUAGGGUCUCCAUUCCCUAGUUGAUAAUUUUUCAACAUAGGGUCUCCACUCCCUAGUUGAUGCUAACAUAGGGUCUCUACUCCCUAGUUGAUGAUUUUCCAACAUAGGGUCUCCACUCCCUAGUUGAUGAUUUUCCAAUAUAGGAUCUUCACUCCCUAGUUGAUGCUAACAUAGAGUCUCCACUCCCUAGUUGAUGAUUUUCCAACAUAGGGUCUCCAUUCCCUAGUUGAUGCCAACAUAGAGUCUCUAAUCCCUAGUUGAUGAUUUUCCAACAUAGGGUCUCCAUUCCCCAGUUGAUGCCAACAUAGGGUCUCCACUCCCUAGUUAAUGAUUUUCCAACAUAGGGUCCCCACUCCCUAGUUGAGGCCAACAUAGGGUCUCCACUCCCCAGUUGAUGAUUUUACAACAUAUGGUCUCUACUCUUUAGUUGAUGAUUUUUAGACAUAGGGUCUCCACUCCCUAAUCUCUGUUUUCCCAAGGGUACACAAUCCCGACCUUUUAUUUGCUUUCAAUAAUGAAGUAGUAUAGAGUUUUAUUACGAAUAACUCAUGAAUUUUCCUAGUAAAAACUAGGGAAGAAAAAUUUCGUUCAUUCAUUUGUUUUGGUGCCUGAGCAAGUUAUACCUCGAGACACAGGGUUUGAGAUAAUCAAGAGAAGUCUUAAUCCAAAAUAAAGAAAAGAAAAGAAGUGAAUCCAAAGUGCAGAAGCGGAGAAAAGAUGUUGGACUGCUCAAGACCUGACUGAAGUCACAAUCUUUGCAUGUCCCGUCUUGAUCCGAAAAAGUCGUAGAAGAAUGAACUAGCACCUGCAGCUGGCAAGCAUCAAGAUUCAGGUCAGAGUCUGCGAGGGGAACCAGCCAAGACUCAAGAUCAAGCUUCAGAAGACUUAUAGAUAUGAAUCUUGUAACUCAUAGCUGAUAGGCUUAGUUAGUAUUUUUCAUUUAUGACUUUGGUGUAAUAAGGAUCUCAUCAAGCAGUAAUAGCAACAAUAGCAGUGAAUUCACAACCUCUUGGUAGUCCCAACUACUAAAACUUCCAGAACUACACUAACCUGAUUCCUUUACAACCAAGGAUAUGUAGGAAACCUCCGAAGUAAGGUUCAGUCAAAUUUUUUCAAAAUGCUUCCCAUGGAGUAUCCAAACGGAAAAAAAUUGCUCAUAAUUAUUCACUUUAUCUUUGCCUGAAAACCCUUCGUGUUUUCGAGCAAAGAGCCAGCUUUGAACACGUGAUUUUUUUUCGAACUAAAAUAUUCCUACAUGAUUCACAAAAUAUGAUUUUUUUAAUUAUUUUAAUUUUUUGUAGAAUUUUUAGGAAUUUCUUGCUACUUGUUGUUUGCAUGUAGUUGCAUGUUUAAUAUUUUAAAAUUGCAAGAAAUACCACAAAAUGUCAAAAAGUUUCAUGCAUUGCAUUUUAGUUUUCUAUUUGCAAUAAGUUGUUAAUUAAUUGUAUUAUUAAAUAAAAAAAUCAUAAAUAUUGGUCAUUUUUACAUUUGUAGUUUUAGUUUUAAAUUAGUAAUUUUCUUUCGUUAUUUUUAAGUUAAAUUAAUUGUUAAAAUAUUAGAAAUAUUUAAUUAAGUUUAUUUCACAAAUUAGAUUUGAUUUAGGACCUAAGUUAGGUUUUAAAAUAAAAGAAAAAGAAAAGAAGAAGGAAAAAAAACAAAGAAAAGGAAAAGGGGGUGGUUUGGGCCAGCCUAAUUUUUUUUAAAACAAAAAAUCCACCCCAGCCCAAUUCCCACUACCCAAAAAUCUUGUCCAACCCCUCACUAAUUCAAACGAUGUCAUUUGGCGUGUUUUGAUAUGGUUCGUUCAAAUUCUCCAAUCCUACGGCCUAGAACUAACUCCCCAAAUCCUUAAAAAUGUCAAAAAACCCCUGAUAAGUAGAGAUUUUGACUGCUUAUUUCCUCUCUUUACUUGCGUUUUAGCUCAAAAUGCUUAAAGAUAUUCCCGAAAACUAACAAAAUGUGCUUACAUGCAGGAUUGUUGGAAAACGAGCCAAAUAAGUCAAAAUUAACUCAUAAAGGAGACAAAAGUGAACAAGAGCCAAAACUGGACAAAGAGGCCAGCAGUGCGGCCGCAGAAUGAGAUUUAAAGAGGUGGUUAUUGACAACUUAGACAGUGCGGACUGCACAAAAACUAUGCGGCCGCAAUCAUUAUUAUGCGGUUCGCAAGAUUGAAGAAUUAGAGAAUUGAUCAAAGUCCAAAAGCUGAAGAGUGUGGGCCGCAUCACUUUUGUGUGGCCGCAAAAUCCAUGCGGUCGCAAUCACUUUUAUACAGACCGCAGAAGACCUCAAGUUCCAGUCCCAAUUUCACAGGUGUGCGGACCGCACCAGAAUUGUGCGGCUGCAUAAGGCCAUUUUGCGGUCCGCAUCAGAAUUAUGCCGCCGCAUAACCUCCGUAGGGGUAUUUUUAUCAGAUAUUUUCAGCUUAGUAUAAAUAUAACUUUUUAUCAUUUUUAGGUUAAAUUUUGUUUGCAGGGGUGCACCUAAAUGUUUUUCUUUACUUCUUUGAGUAAAAUUGUAUUAGAUUGAUCUCUUAACAUUAGUUUUUCUUUGUUUAAUCUAUGAUUAUGCAUUCUACCUUAAUUUCUUUUUGUAUUUCUUUAUUUUCUAUGAGUAGCUAGAUCUUUAGCUAGGGUUGUGACCCAACCCUAGUGUAGGUACUUAAUGAGUAUUUAAUUUUAGGGCUUGUUUGUGAUUGAGUUAGUGAUAUCUAGCCUUGUUUAUGCUUAAAUUAUAGAAUUAAUGGUUGCAAACAUUGAUUCAUGCCUUUUUGACCUAGUCUUUGCUUGAGAAAGAGAGACUAGGUUUAGGAAAAAUUGGCUAACAAGGAAUUGGGGUGAAUUCAAGAAAUUGAUAGCCCCAAUUAAAUGGUCAAAUCUAGAGAUAGUAAGACCUGACUUGAGCAUAUAUCACUUGAUUUGUGCAAAUAUCCACUUGGGCUUGAGAAAGCCAGAUCAGGCAAAAUCACUCAAACUACCGAGAUGUAUAGAGUGAGCAACUGCGUGUAUUUGCUAUACCUCAAAUCCAAUAAAUUAAACUUGUCCUAUAGUUUACAACCCGUUAGGAAGCCACCUAGGUAGAAGUCACGACCCUAGAUUCCUUUAUCAGUUAAAAAAUAACUCUAAACCCAAACUAUUGCCCUUUAGUUUUAUCUUCACAUUCAAUAGAGUAAAGUAGAAGUAGUACACCAAUCAAUAUUGUAGAAGUACAAUUUAAGCCAAAACUUGCAAUCAACUUAGAUAUACACCUAAUCCUAUAUUCUAACUCCCUGUGGAUUCGAUCCCGACCUUUGUUGAGUUAUUAUUGCGUCGACCGCAUCGCUACUAAUUGUGGUGUGGAUUUAGCCGAGAUCACCCCCCAAACCCUAAAGACCACUCCCAUAAAUCUCUCUCUCACCCCUGUCUCUCACCACCUUCCGUCGCGGACCAGAAAUCGCCUAUGGUGGCGGCGACACCCCAAACUACCCCAAAAUUACACCACACACUCCCCAUCUUCCUCUCAACCCUAAUCCAUCACCAAUUUUUCCAAAAUCUCCACCAAUAUUCUCCAAUUUUAAAUCUCAGAAAUGCUAAAACCCAAAUUUUUCUCUUUUUAAUUUGUGAGCAAAUUCACCCGUUUUGACUAAAGAUUUAUAUUUGUCAAUUGUUCUUGACAAGAACAAUUGGUUAAUGUUGGUCUUGGGUCAUUCGAAGUUUAUCGGAUUCCAGCCAAGUCACCACUGACCAGCCAAGCUUCGUCGCCAUCGUCGUUCGUUGAUACACAUCAUUUGUCCACUCAUUUUUGGCAAAAUCAGUAUAUUUUCCCUUUGGUGAAAUAUAUAAAUGGACCCUUUAAGUUGUUCCCAAUGACUAGACAAAUACUUCAACUGACCCCUUUGCCAUUUAGACACUUCAAGAGGUUAUUAAGUAUGUCAAGUAAAUACAUGUUGCUUAUGUGGCAUGUGCGUGUUUGCUACCAACAUUUUGGGCGCGUGAAGUCAUUUUGCAAGCUCAACACAAGCUCAAAUAGCAGCUUCCAUGGAGACGGAUUGUAACAAUGGCUGCUCGACCAAUAUCUUCAAUUUGCACAAUUCCAACAUUAGAACAAAAAGCAAGUUAAUCCAAACUAACACCUGAUUACAGUAUAGUAAUGCCUUCUCGUUAACAGAUUUAAUCUGGAAGUCAAUCCAAUUAUUUUGAUCUGAAAAUUGGAGGCCAAAUCGAUUAAAUGUUCAAAAUCUUUAUUGAAAGCUUCUUUGUGAAGCGAAAUCUACAGAUUAAGGAUGAUUGCAGCUUAUUCAAUAAGCUUUGGUUCGAAGUUUUUGAAGUUUGUUCGAAGAAGUCAAAAUUUUUGGGUCUAUUCAAAGUCUAUUCGAAGAAGAUAGGUUUGUUCGAUUUUUUUAGGUCUGCUCAAAUUUUCUCGAUGAAGUCUGUUCGACCACUGAUGCUGGGUUUGUUUAGAUUCUGUUGAAGAAGAUAAAAUUUCUAAAAUUGAGUUUGAAGAAUCAUAGCCUACCCUUCAUCCCUACUCCUCAAAGUGUAGCCAAUUCCAGCUGCUUUUAAUAUUUUGGGAUUGAUUUGAGAAAUGCCAUUGGGGACGCGGAUGGGAAAGCAAGAUGAUUUUUUUUUGGGGGGGGGGGUGGAGAUUGGCGUUGGUUUGCAAAAGUUUUUUUCCUUUAAAUGUAUUUUUUUUAUAAUUAUAUGUAUCAAAUAUUUAUUACAAAUUACAUGUGUCAUUCUUUUAUUGGUUUAUUUACUACAUCACUAGUAAGUGUAACUUACGCAAAUGUUUUGCUGGGUGGGAGUGCUUACUUGACACACUUAAUAGCUUCUUGAAGUGUCUAAAUGGUAAAGGGGUCAGUUGAAGUGUUUGUCUGAUCAUUGGGGACAACUUAAAUGGGUCGUUUAUGUAUUUUGCCUUUCCCUUUCCCUUUUUUCUUGUAUCUUUUUCUGUUUUUGGGAUCACUAGUCAGGUGUUGAUUAUUGUUUUGAUUAGUUCAAUCAAAAUAGGAUUAUUUAAGUUAAUUUCCUGAUCGAUAGUUUAAUCGCAUGUGUUUAGAUUAAUUGAAUCAAUUUUAAUUAGUUCAGUAAUCUAGUUAGGUGAAUUAGUCGUUUGUUUCUAUGUCAUUUGAUCUUUGAUUUGGUUUUUGAUUUGUUGAUUGCUGAUGUUGAAUGUAAAUUGGAAUCAUAAGGGUUGAAGGGGUAAUAAUAAAAACCUUAAGGGGGCUAAAAGAAAUAAGAAAAUGAAGGAUUUUGUCGGUUUAGCUGUUGAGAAAGUUCUAGAACAGAGAUAAGAGACUAAAAUAUAAUAAAACAACAUUAGAUCAGAUUUUGGGGUUAUAAGGGUUAAAAUGAGAAGUAAGAGGGUUGAAAAAAUAUGAGUAAAUAUCUAAAUGGACAGAUGUCCCAGCAGCUGUCCAUUUUCUAUUAAAAAGAUAUUUCCCCCCUAAAUUUUAGGGACUGCAUUUGUCAGAUUAUUCCCUCACCCUUUGCCUAUAUAAGAGGCCUCAUAGUCCCUUCACUUGACACAAUUCACACACGGAAAACACUCUCUACACUUCAGAAUUUUUCUUUCAUUUUUACACUGAUUUUUGCAUUUAAAAAGGAAGGAUGCAGAACUUUCUAAAUUUUACACUCACUCACACAAAAUUCAGAAGUUCUAGUUUUCUUUUAACCCUUGGUCUUCUUAAGUUGGUUCUUGAGCUGAAGUUGAAGUUCAUUUCUGGAGUUUCUUCAUUGCUGUUUUUCCUGCUUACCUGUUGCUUCUUUUUCUAAGUAUGCUGAGUUUCCUCCUUUGGUUUCCUAACCUUUAUUUGGUCUCAGUUUGUGAUUUCUGCUUUAGGUAUGUUAAUUUUCACUCAGAUUAUAAAUGAAGAUUUAAAUGUUUGUCUCCAUGGCUAUAUUCAAUCUCAUGCCUUAUCUUUAAGGUAUAUUGUCAUAUAUGCCCUAUCUCUGCCUUUCUUUUAGUGAUUAUUUAUGUUUAUUUGUUGUUUCCUAGAAAAAAUAAAAUAAUUAUUAGUUGUUCUAUGUUUCGAAGAAUGUAUGAGAUAUGAUUAAGUAUGUUGAAACUUGAUUCUAAUCUAUAUGUUGUUUUCAAUUAGAAUGGUAGCUUUGUCUAUUUUGGCCAUCUCAAGUUUAAAGCUACUCAUUUUCAGAAUUUGAACUUGAUUCUUACGAAUAGAUAAAGGGCAGGAGACUACUGAAGCCAGUAGGAAGAUUUAUUAUGAAUGUUUGGUGGUAUAGAGAUUUUAGUCAUAGCUCUGAAGUGGAUUACUGUGUUGAAUUUUAGUAAAGAUGCUUACAUAAGUGUUGAUCUGUAUAAAGGAGUCUAUAAACUAACAUAAUUCAUCUUGUUUUUAUAUUCACCUUCAGUUCUCUUAGAAUAGCAAGCUUUGUAAUAAUUUGUUCUUCAAAACAGUUAUUCUUUCCUCAUUUAUCCGAUUGUUGUAUGAUUUGUUGCAAGACAUCUAUCAGAUGAAGCAUGAAUAGUCUAUUAAUUGAUUACAUGUGAUUUGAAUAUGAGAAUGUUUGUUUAUAUGGUAAAUUGGGCUCCAAAUGAGCCUACUUAGUAGACAGUUGAAUAUUCCCUUGUUUUGGGCCCACGCCGGCUCAUGAACGAGAUAAAGCUUAUUUGUUUUAGAGCCAACAUGGAAUAUCUGAUUUCUUUUAUCCAUUAUUGAACGAAAAACUCUAAAUGCCCCUCCCCAGUAAUUCUAAAUUUAUAUUACCAAGCACAUGAAGCAUGGACUGUUCCUCCUUUUUUCCAAAAACUGUGCAAUUUUUAGCAUUUCCUAAGCAACAUAUAGCUAAUUCCAGGUUCUAUCCUGAUAGUCUAAAAUCACAUAAUAAAUAACUUAUAGAUUUUACUUUAACCCCGAAUAAAGUAUAGGAGAAUAAACAACUUAUGAACAUCUGUAGAAAUACUUUUAAACACGUAUUUAAUCAAGCUACGUGAUUAUGUACACGAUCGCGUGAUAUGGUUACGGUUUCAAAAUGAAUACUCGUAGAAAUACUUCUAGGCGCGGUUUAAAUUAUUAUUGUGAUUGUGUACACGUUCGCAUGACAUAAUUACGAUUUUCAAAAUUAAAUCGAGGUAUGCGUUCGCGCAACUUUGGCCAAACAACCUUAAUAAUAAUAAAACGCAAUUAAUUGUGUACACGUUCGCAUGACAUGAUUUUAGUGCCCCAAAUAAAAUAGGUUUACAUACAUGUAAUCCGUUUCAAAAUUAAAUCCAUAACGCCAUAAUUAAAAGAGGUAAAAAGGAUAAAUGUACAUAGGUUCUAAAAUGAGUAAUUAAACAAACUAAUUAAUCCAGGUAUGAUUAGAGCGACUGUGCUAAAAUCACGAAACUCGGGAAUGCCUAACACCUUCUCCCGGGUUAACAGAAUUUCUUACCGAGUCUUUUUUGUUCAUGGACCAUAAAUAAGAGUCAAUUUUCUCGAUUUGAGAUUUAAAAUAAACCGGUGACUUGGGAUACAUGAAUAUCCCAAGUGGAGACUCUGAAAUGAAAUAAAUAAUUCCAUUUCGAUAUUAAUGUCACUUUAAUUAGAAAAACUCCCCUACCCCCUACCCCCGAGAAAAAGGAGGUGUGACAACCACAUGUAUAACAAAACCUCGACUGUUAUGACUGCUAACCCUGAAACUGACCAUAUCGAUCUGAGUAACCACCCUGAAAGCUUUGGAGCGGAGGCACACUAAUAGGAGCUAGUGGUGCACUGUAGGCUAGCUGGUCGGAAUAAGACAUAUGAGGGCCACGGCCACUUGAAGCAUUGUGGGAGAUCCUAUUGUUGUAGAUCGUGUUUAUCGUUCGUGUGUGGUUACCAUUGGGAGUCUUGAGACUAGUAUAGAUCUUCUACUUCUCGAUAUGGUAGAUUUUGAUGUUAUCUUGGGUAUGGAUUGACUGUCACCUUAUCACACUAUAUUGGAUUGUCACGCCAAGACAGUGACCUUAGCCUUACCGGGGUUGCCUCGAUUAGAAUGGAAGGGAACUCCUAGCUAUUUUACCAGUAGGGUUAUCUCUUAUAUGAAAGCUCGACAUAUGGUUGAGAAAUGUGUCUAGCUUAUUUAGCUUAUGUUCGCGAUUCUAGAGCGGAGGUUCCUUUGAUUCAGUCUCAGUUGUUCGUGGGUUUCCAGAGGUAUCUUUUUGCAGACCUGCCGGGGAUGGAACCCAAUAGGGAUAUUAACUUCUGUAUUGAUUUGGCUCGGGCACUCAACCCAUUUCUAUUCUGCCAUAUCGUAUGGCCCCGCCAGAGUUGAAAGAAUUGAAGGAGCAGUUAAAAGAUUUGCUUGAUAAGGGCUUCAUUAGACCUAAUGUCUCGCCCUAGGGUGACCGUGUUGUUUGUGAAGAAGAAAGAUGGAUCGAUGAGGAUGUGCAUAGACAACCGGUAGUUGAACAAAGUCACCAUCAAGAACAAGUAUCCAUUACCGAGGAUUAAUGACUUAUUUGAUCAACUUCAGGGUACCAAGGUGUUUUCAAAGAUUGAUUUGAGGUCUGGCUACCAUCAGUUGAGGAUUAGGGCAUCCAAUGUCCCUAAGAUAGCUUUUCGGACUCGAUAUAGGCGUUAUGAGUUUCUAGUGAUGUCAUUUGGGUUGACAAAUGCCCCAGCAACAUUUAUGAAUUUGAUGAACCGGGUGUUCAAACCCUAUUUGGAUUCCUUUUUGAUUGUGUUUAUUGAUGAUAUCUUGAUCUACUCUAGCAGCCGAAAGGAGCAUGAGCAGCAUUUUCGAAUUGUACUUUAGACUCUAAAAGACAACAGUUAUAUGCUAAAUUUUCAAAAUGCAAGUUUUGGUUGGACUCAAUCGCUUUCUUGGGGCAUGUUGUAUCAACAGAGUGCAUUCAGGUAGAUCCUAAGAAGAUUGAGGUAGUUCAGAACUGGCCUAGGCCCACUUAAGCUAUGGAGAUACGGAGUUUCAUGGGUUUGAUGGGUUAUUACCGUCGGAUUGUGGAGGGGUGUUGUCUAUAGUAGCCUCAUUGAUCAGGUUGACCCAGAAUGGUGCCCCGUUCAGAUGGCCAAACGAGUGUGAGGCAAGCUUUCAAAAGCUCAAGACUGCUUUGACUAGGCAUCAGUGUUAGUGUUGCCCACAGGUUCAGGAUCUUAUACGGUAUAUUGUGAUGUAUGUUGUAUUGGACUUGGUACAGUAUUGAUACAGGAUUGAAGGGUAAUUGCAUAUGCGUCGCGGCAGUUGAAGGUUCAUGAGAAGAAUUAUCUGUUCAUGACUUAGAGUUAGCAGCUAUUGUUCAUGUGCUAAAAUUUGGAGACAUUAUCCUUACGGCGUGUAGUGCGAGGUUUUCACAGAUCAUCGCAACUUGCAAUACUUGUUCAAACAAAAGGAUCUCAAUUUGAGGCAUAGGAGGUGUUUGUAGCUAUUGAAAGACUAUGAUAUCACCAUCUUGUAUCAUCGCGGGAAGGCCAAUGUGGUGGCCGAUGCCUUGAAUAGAAAGGCAGUGAGUAUGGGUAGCCCUGCGUACAUUAUAGUCGGUGAGAGACAACUUGCUUCAGAUGUUCAGUCCUUGUCCAAUCAGUUCGUUAGGUUGGAUUUUUCAGAGCCCAGUCGUAUUCUAGCUUGUAUAGUCGCCUGGUAUUCCUUGUUUGAGCGCAUCAGGGAGCGGUAGUAUGAUGACCCUCAUUUGUUUGUCCUUAGGGAUACAAUGCGGCACGGUGAUGCCAAGCAAGUUACUAUUGGAGAUGAUGGAGUUUUAAGGAUGCAGGGUUGUAUUUCUGUGCCUAAUGUAGAUGGACUUUGUGAGUUGAUUCUUGAGGAGGCCCAUAUUUUUCGGAAUUCUAUUCAUCCGGGUGCCACCAGAUGUAUCAAGACUUGUGGUAGCAUUAUUGGUGGAGAAGGGUGAAGAAGGACAUAGUUGCAUAUGUAGCUCGGUGUCUAAGUUGUCAACAAGUAAAGUAUGAGCAUCAGAGACCUGGUGGUUUGCUUCAGAAGUUAGAGAUUCCUAAGUGGAAGUGGGAGCAUAUCACUAUGGAUUUCGUUGUUGGACUCCCAUAGACUCAGAGUAAGUUCGAUGCAGUUUGGGUCAUUGUGAAAGGGCUAACCAAGUUAGCGCAUUUCAUUCCUUUGGCAGUUACCUAUUCUUCAGAAUGGUUGGCUGAGAUCUACAUCCGCAAGAUCGUUCAUCCUCACAGUGUGCCUGUGUCCAUCUUUUCUGAUCGAGGUACGCAGAUCACCUCGCACUUUUGGAGGGUAGUAUAAUAUGAGUUGGGCAUGCAGGUUGAGUUGAGCACAACAUUUCAUCCUCAGACGAACGAACAGUCCGAGCGCACUAUCCAGAUAUUGGAGUAUAUGCUUCACGCUUGUGUUAUAGACUUCAGAGGUUCUUGGGAUCCGUUCAUGCCUCUUGCGGAGUUUUUCUACAACAACAACUACCAAUCGAGCAUUCAGUUGGCUCCCUAUGAGGCAUUAUACGGGAGGCAGUGCCGAUCUCAAGUCGGAUGGUUCGAGCUGGGGGAGGUUCGGUUGUUGGGUACAGAUCUGGUACAAGAUGCCUUAGAUAAGGUCAAGAUUAUUCAGGAUCGACUUUGCAUAGCUCAGUCCAGGCACAAGAGUUAUGUCGACCGUGGAGUUCGUGAUGUUGCAUUCAUGGUUGGAGAGAUGGUAUUGCUCCGAGUUUCACCCAUGAAGGGUGUGAUGAGGUUCGGAAAGAAAGGCAAGUUGAGCCCUAGGUAUAUCAGACCUUUUGAGAUUCUUCAUAGAGUGGGUGAGAUGGCUUACAAGCUCACAUUGCCAUCUAGUUUAUCAGCAGUCCAUCUGAUACUCCAUGUGUCCAUGCUCCGAAAGUAUCACGGUGAUCCGUCCCAUGUGUUAGAUUUCAACUCUGUCUAGUUGGACAAGGAUUUGAAUUAUGAGGAGGAGCUGGUAGCUAUUCUAACCCGGCAAGUUCGUUGGUUGAGGUAAAAGAGUUAUCCUUUAAGUCGAGUGCAGUAAAGAGGUCAGCUCGCUGAGGCAGCUACAUGGGAGUCCAAAUCGGAGAUGCGGAGAAGAUAUCCAUACAUUUUCACCAGUCCAGGUACUUUUCUAUGUCCAUUUGAGGAUGAACAGUUAUUUUAGAGAUGGAGAAGGUGAUGACCCGAUAGAUCAUCUAAAGUUUUAUAGCCUAACUCUGUGUUUUGAAGCCUCAAAUACCUUAUUUUAGCCUUCCUCGAUUUGUGUGCACAGUCUGGGUAUUUUUCUAAUAAAUCUUUCAUGUUAAAAAUUGAACAAAUAUGAAAAAUUUCCUUAAAAAUCCAUUUUGAGUUGACUUUGGUCAACAUUUUGAGAAAACGGACUCGGAUCCGUAUUUUGACAGUCCCAAUGGGCCCGUCUUCUGAUUUGGGACUUGGGCGUAUGCCUGAAAUCGAAUUCGGAGGUCCCUAGCUCGAGUUAUCGUAUUUUGUUGAAAAAUUGAGGUUUAAAGGCUUAAUGAAUCUAAAAGUUUGACCAAUAUUUGACUUUAUUGAUAUCGGGUCUGUAUUUUGGUUCAGGAACCUGGUAUAUGUCCACUACUAUAUUUAUGAAUUGUCUGUCAAAUUUGGUGAGAAACGGAGUUGGUUUGACGUGAUUCAAAUGUCUGGUUGUUAAAACAAAAGUUCAUGAGUUUUCUUGAAAAUUUGAUUUGAUUUGGUAUUCAAUUCGUAGUUCUAGGUGUUAUUUUGGCAAUUUGAUCGCGCGAGCAAGUUCAUACGAUAUUUUUGGACUUGUGUGCAUGAUUUGCUUGGAGCCCCCGGGGCUCGGGUGAGUUUCGGAUAGGCUACGAAGGGAAUUUGGACUUAGAAAACAUAGUUGGUGCAUCUGGUUCUGGUACUGGUCUCUGAUCUCUCAAAUGCGGGGUCAGUGUUCACAAUUGCGAAUUACCCAAAGUCCUGUCAAGUUCGCAUUUGCGAACCACUUCUUCACAUUUGCGAAGAAGGCCUGGGCUAGCAAGGAUCGCAAUUGCGAUCAGGAGGUCGCAUUUGUAGGGAGACCAGAGUUCGCAUUUGCGAACAUUUCAUCGCAAAUGUGAUAAAAGUAGAGGUGUGAAGACUUCGCAAUUGCGAGGUAUUUUUUGCAUUUGCGGGGGUCGCAAUUGCGACAUCUACAACUGAAAAUAUAUGAGUUAGAUGGAAUUUUCUCUCAGUCUUCAAAUUUUUAAAAUAAGAAAAUCCUAGAGGCGAUUUUCCCAAGGGCCCUUCUUCCCCAAUCCAUUGGUAAGUGAUUCUAACAUAUUUUCUUUCAAUCUUUCAUUAUACUUCAUAAGAUUUCAACCUAAAAUCUAGUGUUUUCAUGGUGGAAAUUGGGGGUUUGGGUAGAAUUAGGGAUUUUUGUAAAAUUGAGAUUUAGACCUCAAAUUGAGGUCGCAUUUCAAAACAAUUACAUAACCGGGCUCGGGGGUGAAUGGGUAAUCGGAUUUUGGUCCAAAUUUCAGGUUUGGACCAAGCGAGCCCGGGAGUUGAUUGACUUUUUAAAUAAUAACCUAAAUUAAAUCUUUUGUAAUCGUGGGUAGUUCCUAAGGCUUAAUUUGAGCCGUUUAAUUGGUAAUUUGCUAGAUUUUAUUGGUUCAGAGGCUUGUUUGAAAGGCAAAGAUGUGGUUGAGCUUUGAGUUAAUCUUCAGAGUAAGGUAAGUAUUGUGGUUAACCUUUAUUUGAGGGAUUAGGAGUUGUUUGUCUAUUUGCUACUUGUUUAGAUGUUGGGUACAACAUAUAUGUGAGGUCACGAAUACUUAUGCAUUGUUGUUGGGUUAAAGCAUGCGGGUGAGACUUAUUCCUCGUAAUUUAUUGCUUAUUUUGAUCAUGUUAUCCAUGCUUAGACUAUUUACUUAUUAAAAUGAUUGUUCUUACCGCGUUUAUGGGUUUCUGUGAUAAUUGAGUAUUGUUUCUAAAAUUGAGGUUGGUAUUGUGGAACCCUUGUGGAUAUAAGGCUUGUUCUUGUUUAUUCUAUCUUCUUGUUGCAUGUCCAUUGUUAUAUGGUAAAGGAGAGUGUUAAUGCACGAAAGAUGACGUCGUACCAUAUUUGAGUAUUAAUGCACGAAGGGUGAUGUCGUGCCAUAUUGUGAGAGUUAAUGUACGAAGGGUGAUGCCAUGUCAUAUUUUGAGAGCUAAUGCAUGAAGGGUGAUGUCGUGCCGUAUCUACUGAUUUAUGAUGAAAGUGAGAGUAAAAGCACGAAGGGUGAUGCCAUGCCGUAUUAUUGUUUCAUUGUGAGGUUGAGAUUAAAAUCACGAAGGGUGAUGUCGUGCAAUUUUAUUCAUUGUGUUUAUCUGUUUUACUGGUUGAAGGCAUAUUGACUGUUCUGGUUAUCAUUUCUGUUGUAAUCAUCAUAUCUUGUACCCAUUUCGCAUAUCCCCUUCAAAUUGUACAUGUUUAUCUUUUAUUUGUUGUUAUUUUGUACGUAUAUUGUUAUCAGCACAAGUUAUUUACAUGGGUGUUUUGUCGUAGCUUCGUCACUACUUCAUCGAGGUUAGGCUCGACACUUAUGGCGUACAUGGGGUUGGUUGUACUCACACUACACUCUGCCUUCUUGUGCAGAUUUUGGUAUUGGUCCCAGUUGCCAUUGAGGUGCAUUAUCUCAGAUCCGCUGACUUGGAAACUCGAGGUAAAUCUACUGGCGUCCGCAGACAUUGAAGUCCCCUUCCAUUUUCCCUUAUUUACUGCUCGUUUCAUUCGAGACAGUUGUACUUAUUUCAGACUCUGUUUGUAGACAAUUCUAGAAGCUCAUGAAUUGUGACUCCGGAUUCGGGUUGUAUUGAUAUUAUUAGCUUUUUAUGUUAUUCCACACUCAGUUUUAGUUUCAUUUUGGCUUAAUUGACUUUAUUUAUUGAAAUUGAUUAAAAUUGCUUAAAGAUCCUCUAAUGUUGGUUUGCCUAGCAAGUGAAAUGUUAGACGCCAUCACGGUCCUGAAUGUGAGAAUUUCGGGUCGUGACAGUCCGUCCACUCUUUACGGCAAUUUCUUAUUUUCUUAAGAAAUGAACUAUUUUCCAGGGGAAAUAUACAAAUAGUAUUCUUAGAAAUGUUAUUUAGAAAUUAAUCAGUAUUUAAUUUGUCCUAAAAAUUUUAAUUUCAGGACAAUUUAGGAUAUUUUUGUCCUGAAAAACUAAAAUUCAAAAUAAAGGCUAAUUCCUAAAUAGAAGCCCUUUGAGUGGCUACCUGAUGACAUUUCUACCUCUUCUCCCCUAUACUGACAUCCAAACGAAGUUUAAGAGAUAUUAGCGGGAGAAAUUAAAAAAUAGCCAGAUUUACAAGUGGUCAUUCAAAAAUAGUCACAAUUUCAAAAGUAAUCGAAAUUUAGCCAUUUUUUAUGUAAAGAUAAAUCUGAACGAAACACUGUUCAAAAAUUCAAAAAAUACUCCACCAUAAUAUACUGGAAUUCCUGUAUAAUAUACUGGAACUCCAGUAUAUUAUAUUGGAGUUCCAGCAUAAGUUAUACUGGAGUUCCAGUAUAAUAUACUGGUACAACAUAAUAUGCUGGAAGUUCAUACACAGGUGCUCCAAUCUCCAGUAUAUUAUGCUGGAACUUUCUACGUGUUGGAGUUCUAGCAUAAUAUGCUAGAAGUUCAUACACAUGCACACCGAUCUCCAGUAUAUUAUGCUGGAACUUUCCGUGUUGCAGCAAAAUAGUGACUAUUUUUCAAUAAUUUUGUAAACACUGACUAUUUUUCAAUAACAAGUCCGAAAACUGGCUAGUCCGUGCUAUUUUUAUGAUAUUGGCAACCAAAUUGGUUACGUUACAAAUCAUAUUGGGCUUUUUUGUAAAGUGGGCUCAUAUCUGAAAAACCGAGCUACUUCAUGUUGAAGGCUGCUAAACUCUUCGACUUAAUGGAUUUCAUCACAUCCAAUAGUUUCUCUCUUUUUUUCACCUCGAACGGAAUAAUAAUUAGUAUUUCAACUUACAAGUUUGUGCAACAAUAUUGGUUACAUGAAAAUGAGAAGAAUUCUAAUUAGACUUUUGAAAGAAAAAUGGGAAAGUAGUUAAAAGGGUUAAAAGGGAAUACUAUUGAAUUUGAAUAAUUAAUGAAGACAUUAUUAAUACACAAAGGGUGGAGAUAGCCCUUAAACCAUUUAGUAAGACAUGAUUUAUUGAUUGGAAAGGUAUAUGUAUCACCAAAAUACUACUAACUUGGUAUGCAAAACACAGCACGUGGUCCUUGUCUAAUAAAUGACAACUUCAAUUUCUUCUUUUAUUUUCUUCCCUUGUUGACUUUAAGAAGUUGAGUCGUUGUACAACCUACUUAUAUAAAAAAUAAUUGAUCACUAAAUCCAGAAAAAUCUCUUUCUUCUUUCUAUUGGAUAAUCCAAUGCUCACGCAUUCCUUUACCUCGUGAAUUAUAGGAUUUGAAUACCCUACAAAUAAUGUCCCAAGUCACAAGGAAUAUGGUAAUUCAUGACUAAAAGACGCAGUCUUUUUCUUCUAUAUUGUCGUUUAAAAUAUUCUUGAAGACGACGUCUUACACUAUCAAAUAAUUAAAUAUCGUACGUGUAAAAUGACAAAUUCUUGAGAGCCAACCACUCCUCAACCGUACUACACGACAAAAAAAAAGGAAAAAUAAGAAGACAAAAAAAAAAAUUACAAGUCCGAAAAUUUGUAACCCAAGCGGAACCAUGCUUCUCUUUACUAAAUAAUUAAGUGAAUUAAUUCUUGUUCCUUUUCCCCCUUGAUAUGUACAACAAAUAUAUUAGACAUCCUAUCAAUCUAUUACUAAUUAAAUUUGAUCAUAGUCCUAAUUAAUCCUAAUUAAGAUCUCAAAAUAGACUGUGACAUGCGUCACCAAGAGGCAGUAUUAGGAUUAAAAGAAGGCAUGAAAAUGCGUUGGCCGGUGGCUAAAAUAUGUCUUGGGUCAAAAUCUAAUUUCCUUUGCUGAAAUCUGGUCCAAUAUUUAUCUCCAAAAUGGUCCCUCCAUUCUCUUUGUGUUGUGUAAUGAGGCAGGUAUUGUUUGAUUUUGAUCUUUGCAUCUUCACAAAACUUCAAUAUUUGGUAGUUUUGAUUGCUGAGGUACUCUAAUGUUUGUGUCUCGUCACCAUUUGUCAAUGCUGACCUCAGAAAUCCCACUAAGUAAAACACUUCCUCUUCUGGCGUCACUACUGAACUCCUCUCGUCCCACCUAUUAAAAAAAUUAUAGCACAAGCCAAGAGUGAGGCCAAUAUGCAAAGACAAUAUUGCAAAUAGAGGUUUUUUGAAGUGUCGCGUGCGAGGCCAAGGCUUAUGGCAAUGGCCCGAGGUCAGCCGUGGCAGGCCUAUGUCAAUGGCCCGAGGUCGGCCGUGGCAUGCCACUAUAGGCCGAGGUCGACCAUGGCAUGUCUAUGUCAAUGGUACGAGGUCGGCCCCUGAAUUCCUGUUUUGUGAUCCUAAAAUAUCAGAAAACUAGGAAUGAUCAUAUCGAAAUGAUGAUUAUUAUUAACUAAGUCGUUUAUAUAUAAAUUUUAUAGCGUUGUCUCUCAUUUAAGAACUUAAAGUUGUUAGAUAAAAAUUUUGUACUUAACAAGCAUUUGUAAAUCUACAAAUUAACUUGAUAAAAGUGUUUCAUAUAUAAUCAUAUAUAAACUUUUGAAUAACAAUUUAAACGUUUAAAUAAAAGUGUGGUCAUACAUUACAAUAAAUUUGUCGUAUCGAUUGGACUCCCGUACUUAGAACAAGAUUUUCGAAUAUUCGUGAGUUGUUUUUUGAUAAGGUUAGGAAGUAUAACUAUUACAUGAGCCAUGAAUUGGUCCCCAAAGGGAAGAUCUUCCUGACAAGAGGAUCUUCAUUGUUUUGGACCAUUUCUGUACCUUCUAAUUUUAUUUUAUUUUUAUUUGGAUUUAAAGGGACAUAAGGUUCAUAGUUUUAGGCCUUUAGCUGGAUAUUAGACUAGUAUUAUGCAUGCAUGCCACGUGUUUAGGUGGACAUGCCACUUAUCAUUCGACAUAUUACAUGAACUUAAAUAACCACUCACCCCAAAUUAAAGUAAGCAUUGGGAUGGUUCAGGGGAAAUCAAUGCUAGAAACCUAAAAGAAAUACCCCCUCUAUGUUUUAAAUUAUCUGUAAUUUAUCUGUCCAAGUUUGAUUGGGCAUAAAAUUUAAUAAAGUAACAAAACCUUUUAAAUUUUAUAGUCUUAAACUAAAAAUGUCUGUAAUUAAAAAUUCUUAAAUGUUGUGGUCUUAAAUUUGCUAUGGGAAGGUUAGACAGUUAAAGAAUAAUACUAAAUAUAAAAAAAGAUAUUCUUUUUUAAAGAGAUAAAAGAAAGAAAGAAAAUAAGCAACAUAAAUUGAAACGGAGUAAUACUAAACUCAUUAAGUAUAAAUUUGAAUUCCCCUUUAAGUGGGGUCAUUAGUAGGGCAUGGUAUUUGGUAUAGAACGUCGGAUUGUCACUAUUCAUAUCUUUUGGAUUCAUGCCAAUUUACUAGUCAUAAUGCUGUCUUUUAGCUAGGACAAAACAAAAUUACAGCCAAAAUUCUGCACAAAAAAGUAGAUACUGAACGAUCGCUUAAAGCAAUUAGCAGGGGAGGGACCAAUGGACCAUACUAUGAAGAUUGAUUGAAAAUUUGGUCUUUAGGUUUUCGUAAUUAUCGAUAAAAUUACAGAAAUCGGGUGCGAUGUCUAAUGAACAUAAUCCAAAUUGUGAGGGGAUGUACAUGACAUAGACAUAUCGCUAGUUCUACCAAAGUUUGUGUCAUGAAAAACAGCACAAAUUAUAUAUGCAUAGCAUAGUACAUACUACAUACUGUUUUUUUGCAUGCAUGCACUGCAGACAACCAACGUAAGAAACAGACAGAGGUAGAUGACGGUAUGUAUAUAUAUCACAAGAAGAAGCCAUAAUUGUAAGGAUUCAACUUAUAUAACUGUCGGUGUAAAUAUUUUUACAUUAUCGUAGUUGCGGCAUGCCAGAAAAUUUAUUUUAUUUUUCAAGUUACUAAUUAAUAAUAUUAUUUUAUGAACGAUUGCUUAUAGUAUAUAGUCAUUAAAGUCAGAUUAUAUAUAGGACUACCGAUUUUGUCUUCAAUUUAAUUUUAAUCAGUUAAUUAGGACUAUCUCAUUUGCAUUUUGAUAUUUAUUUAUUAUUUAACUAUAAUAAAUUAAUACUGAUAGUAUCAUUUAAUGUAAAUACAGAGUGUAAGUAAAAGAAUUUCGAUUAAGAACUUACUUGUUCUUGUUCAUGGGGUAGAUGAGUAUGGGACCACUGGUCUUAUUCCCCAAAAUGCCCUUAAAAACUCCUUUAUCGAAGUCUGCAAUUCUUGAUUUUGGGACAAAUAGGUUUAGCCAUGGGUGUGGCACUUCCCACAAUCCUUUAGACCGGAGUUUCAACUCUGCCUUGUGAACCCGGUCCAAGAAAUCCACGUAAGGAAGGUCUGUUGUAAAAACUGAUGCUGGUAUAUAUUUUAGCUUCUUUAACAAUGUCUCUAUCUCCUGCAUUUCAUUAAAAAAAAAGAAAAGGAAAAAGAACAAUUACAAUUCAUUUUCAAAGUUAACACACAUUAAAAAAUUGUAAUCAAAGUACAAAUAAGGUAGUCACUGCUUAACUGUUAUACUUUUGUCAGGAUAACCUUUAAUUUAGUUUCAUGCAAACUCCAAUUAAAUAUUCAUACUAUAAAACAGAAUUAUUAGACUUAGGGAAUAAAUUUUGGUGGGAGGUCAGUGGACGGCAUAGAUAUAAUCAUAUUAUAAUAUAGUUAUAUUAUAAUACUAAUAAACAAUUAAAGUUUGCGUUCUAUCUUAGGAUCUGACAGAGCUGAUAGAUUGUGGAAGAUCUUCCAUGUUUUCUUGUGCAUGUUGUGUUCCUUCUUUUUACGACGAAUGCUGUCAUCGAAUAAUCAGAGUGAUGAACAGAUAAUCUAAUAAUCUACUUUAAUUAUUCCUAGAAAUAGCUUUGGAUGUGUACCAAACAGGAAUAGCGACAACUAAACCUUGUAGAAUGUUCUAUAAUUAAUUUUUCUAUGUCAGCAAUUAAAUAACGUACCACAUUUCUUAAUCAAUCUUUCUUUUUUGAUAGUAUGAGUUUAACUAAUAUAUACACCCAUAGUGUUACAGAAUUUAUACUAUUAUGUCAGUUAAACGUCAAUUACUAGCAACUUUUGAAAAUGAAUUGUUAAGUAAUAUAGUAUAUAUUAGGCUAUUACCACAGAUGAAGUUAUACAACAAUAACAAUAACCCAAUGUAAUUUUUCAAGUAGAGAGAGUAGGAUGUAUGCAGCUUUACUCCUACACUGAAAGAUCAAAGAGAUUAUUUCUGAUAGACCCUCGGCUAAAGAAGAUGAAGCUAUACUAAUAAUGUUAAAAUCUUUUACAUAUGCAUAAUUGAUUUAUUUUUAAAUAUGUUAUCAAUAUGUCGUAUGUAGUAGUAAGAUUUAGCAUGUAAUUAAAAUAAAAGAAGAAAACAGGCCUCCUAAGGUAUAGCUUCGCCACCUAUAUAGCUUCAUUUAGCAAAAUAAUGUCUACUUUACAGGCUUUAUUCGCACUAAAAUGCAUUAAUCAGAGAGAUAAAGCUAAAGGUUAACUACUACUAGCGCAUCUUAUAGCAAUCGAUCACCAACUUUAAUCAUCUUUUUUUCUUUAUAUUCUAAUGUCAAUACAGAUGGGAAUCAUGUGUGCAGGAAUCAAGAAACUAAACUAAAGAUACUUUGUUUAAUAUAAUCUAUCAGGAAAUAAUAUAUUUAACUAACACAAUCAUGAUUUAGCAACAAUAUAAUAUCUGUAACGAAACAUGCAUAAGAUUCAAAUAGAGUAGUGGGUAUAAACCUGGUCAACGAUAUCAGCAUUUGAAAGGUGAUAAUUUUUGGUGAUUUCUAAGCAAUAUAAAACUCCUCCUUCAGACUUAAGAGAAGAAAUCUUGACAGGGUUACUUGGGGAGAAAAAAGAAGAUCUCCAGUUGUUAAUGAGGCCUUCAUCAACUAUAACAAAUCCUUCAACAUAGUCAAAUUUUUGGGAAGCUGGUUUUCCAUGUAGAGAUAUUAGAUAUUCUUGGUCUUCGGUAAAUGUUGAAAAAUUUGAAUAUAAAACUCGGAUCCACCUCACCUGCAUGUACAUUAUAUAAAUGAGUUUACUUUAAUUUGACAGUCAAAAGAGUUCUUACAUUAUUAUGUUAUUUAAAAAUAACUAUAGGUAAGUGUGAUGUUUACUCUAUUAGAUCACCUAAAGAUAAUUAUAAGCAACUGUUCAUAAAAAAAAGGAUUAAUAACCUAAAAAAAUAGACAUGUUACUUGCAACACUAGGUUAAAGUACACUUGUCUAUACAAGUUAAACGCUAAGAAAAGUAGAUUUUUGUUUUAAUUAUUCACGAGUUAUUUAUGAAGAAUGAAAAAAAAUGAAAAAUUAAAAUAGAAAGUGAGAUAACAUUUUUUUGGAGGGAAAAGUAAUAUGUCAACAACAGUGCCAGCUUAAGAACAGCCGUUUAAGAUGAAGUUGGAAAAAGCUGCUAACAGAGGACCCAUCUUCCUCACUCUUAUGUCAUGAAUUAUGCAAACUACCUUUCGUGUCUUGUCCAAAAACUAAUACUAAGAAAAAAAAGUCUUCAACCAAGCCAAAACCCCACCAUGUAGAAAACAAAAGGCAAUCAAAAUAGUGGAAUAUGCUCUAUUUAGUACUAGCAUUUAUAUUUAGGACAAAAAAAGAAAUUAAAUAUUACCCUUUGGGGAGCUUGUUCAAGUGCAAUUCUUGCCCUUGUUAUAAUCCCAAAUUGUCCUAAUCCACCAAGAGCAGCAUGAAACAGCUCGGAGUUUUCUUUUUCUGAACAUGUUAAUAGCUCACCCUUACCUGUAUCAAAAUCCCAUGAGUCACAUCAAAUAUGACAAUUAAAAUGGUUCAAAUUAUAUACUUUUAUUAAUUUCUAAAUUUACCCCAAAAUCCAAAAGAGUGGUGUGUAAAACAAUCAACUAUGUCAAUCUAUAUUGUCAUUGCUCUUAAGACAAUAAGAAUUAUUGGUACUAAUGACAAUGAUUAAACCAUGCCCAAAGUAAGAGAUUCUAUUAGAAUAAGAGAGAUGAGUUAAGCAUAAAAACAAAAACACCCCAUGUGGUACUCACACAAUUUCAAGUACACAUCUCUAAACAUAUUCGAAAAAAAGGGGUUCCUACUUAACACAAAAAUAAAGCUAUUGAUAAAACACCCCAUCAAAAGAUAUUACAAGACAAAAAACCAUCCUAACAUCCCAUGUUAUUGUUCUAAAGUAACAUAUCUGGCAUCUACUUUCUUUCUUAACAAAAGCUAUUAGGAAUUAAGUAUUAAAUAGAGAGAGUACAAUAACGUCCUGGAAUCUUGAAGAUAAGAAUGUAAGAAUUAUUGUUUUUGGCAAUGAUACCAUACGUGAAUAUUUUAUGAUAUUAUUUAAUUUUUAGACACUAACAGUAUAAUAAACUCUCUGAUAAUGUAGGAGUUUCACUUGAAAAGAAUUUUUUUACAUGCAACAACAAAAAUAAUAAUAAAUCCAAUAAAAUCUCAUGAGUGAGGUCUGGGAAAGGUAGCGCGUACACAUCCAGAGAGUUGUGUGUAUACAAACCUUAUUCCUACAUUAGGAGGGUAGAUAGACUAUUUCCGAUAAACCAUCCCAUCGGGCCCAGGAACAGAAAAAAAUUAAAUUAAACGCACCUGUAACAACAUCAAGCUCAUGAACAUUGUUAAUUUGAGGGCCAUGAUUGAAAGCUUGUCCACUAAUACCAGCAUUGGAGAGGGUACCACCCACAGAUAAGUACAAGUAAUCAGUCCAUGAUUUUGGUGCAAGUCCAUACUCUAAGGUGGACGUCAACACAUCUAUCCAUAACUCUCCACCCCACACAUCAGCAUACAUGAAUUUCUCCGAAACCUCGGUCAAUAACUUCUGCUUAGAGUUAGAGCCGCCGCUCAUUUGGAUCACAACACCAUUUGUUAUCAUAGCCUGUCCAUUUAUAGAAUGUCCGUGUCCUCUAGCCGACACGGUAAACCCAUGAGCCGAGUCGUACGCGGCUUUCACAAGCCGCGCUACGUCCUCGGCUGUAGCCGGGUUAAGAACCGCCAUCGGCUCAGCUCUAUGCAACCCGCCGAAGUCCACGGACGCAGUUUCUAAAUCGGCUACCGCCACGCUGAGGUUUCCGUUGAGCCCGAGCCGUAAAAGCUCAGUCGGGUCAAACCUAAACCCGACGGUUACAAUAAGCCGACAUAUAGCAAGUGUCAACAAAAGUUUAGUAGCCAUAGGUAAAGAGGAAGGCUUUUGCUUCUAUACAAAGAGUAUAGCAAAGUGAAGAUUAAGUAAAAUGGUGUGAGGGAUGUGUUAUUUAGUUAGAUAGGAGUACUAAAUAUAUAUACGUGGAAACUAUUGAAAGUUGGUAUAUAUAUUAUGGUUUUGAAAAUUUUGAGGUGACACUUGGGGAAAAGGGAACAAAAUCUUUGUGGCAGGAGCAAAAGUACCAAGAACAAGAGCAGGGGCGUCAGCAGUAGCGUGGGACUAACGUAAGACAGAUUGCACUUUAAAGAUUUUCACAAUCUCAAUCUUUGUUUUUCGUUCUAGCUAUAGAUACUAGCUACUUUUCAUUAAUAACAUCAAAAGAUACAAUGAAGAAGAAGAGGAAAAUUCAGAAAUGCAAGAAUGAGAGGUGGUAAAAAUGGUGGUAGUAUUAUGUGUUUGAAGAGGAAAAGGAUUCAUUUUGUUGAAUUUGUAUAGUUAAGAACAUUUGUUUAUAUGACUUUUGAGAUUGUCUAGGAUAAGAGAUACAGGUUGGGUAUUUAUAGGACAAAUAGAGGGAGAAGAAGAAGGGGGAAAGAGAAUGUCACGUGCGAGGGAUGAGGCCUGACACGAGUGAACUUCAAGGGCCCCACUGGUUGUAGGGGCCCACAAAGGGAUACGGAGGAUCUGUGUGGGGACAUAAACAAAGGAAACCUUCACGUGAGGACUGGUCGACGGGUCUGUUAUUUCUUUUUCAUUUCUUCUUCUUAAGGUUUCAUUUUGGAAUUGAAUGAUUGGCUAAUUCAAAAUUAGUUAUGCAUGUCGGUUUUUUGGAUAAUAUUAAAAUUUGAGGUUGAGAAAAUUAGGAGUAGUAUUUAAGGUUGAAGCUGGAAAAAAAUGGUAGAAAUUGACUCAAUAAGAACAUCACUUAAAGUUAAUACAAAGUUUGUGCUAGUUAAAAUUUGUAAAGAAAAUCCAGCAUUUCAGUUGAGAUGCACCUUCAAAUUAGUAAUUGAAUGACCAAAUAAGUGUUUGCACUUUUGCAGUCGGCGUUCAAUAUUUGUAAUUAGUUAAAAUAUUGAUGAUAUUAUUAAUUUAAACCUUUUUUUUUUCUUCAAUUAAUUUAAUAGAUGAAUAAAGAGGUGUGCAAUUGGUUGACAACAGAUAAGUGUUUGCAUUUCGAGCUCUUGAUUGUUGAACUACUCUUUUCAACCAUUAAUAUUCGCUAAAACAAAAAUUGGAAUUAGUUAUGAAAUUUAUCGUUUAACUGUCGCUAAAUCGCUCAUAACUAACAUUCUUAAUAAUCCGUCGCUAAAUAAAAUUAGCAACAAUUUUUUUUGUUCGGCUACGGAUUUUGUCAAUCGCUUAUUCCUGUUCUUUUAGUGUUGAUAUUUCGUUUAUAGUUGACUUAAUCAAACUUUAUAAGAAAGUCUCAUAUUUACCAAAAACCACAAGUUUUUAUUUUGGGUGGGGGGGGGGGGGGAACAAGUAUUAACGAUUGAGAAAUAUUAGACUAUAUUGGAGUAGCUAUACGAUCAUAACGAUAGAUUAAUAAGCAAUAUCCCUAGAUUAAAUAUAGUUAGAGAGCAUGCUUGAUGCAGGCAAUAAUAGGCUAGAGUUGCAUUAUAGUAUUUAAUUACAUUGCAGUUUGCAACUAAUAAGAAGUUAGAUCCCAAUAUAAUAUCGAUUAGCGUCUAUCUUCCCUGAAUUGAAGGAAGUAUUAAUUGUUAAUGAUGAGGUCAGUAUCACUUAAACCAUGUUGGAGAUAUGAACAUAUAUAUGGAUUGGAUUAAGGCUAAAAGACACACGAAGGAAAUCUAAACAUAGAUUAUAUAUGGAUCGUACGUACUAAUACAGUUGCCUAAUCAGGUUAAAAAUGAGAAACUAGACUAGUAGUACCUAUUCCUUAUUAUAUUGCAACUAAUUAAGUUAAACAAUAAAUUAAACACGAAAAUUCAUGAAUCAAUUAAACAGAAUUAUUUAGCUGUGUCGCAUUCCCAUUGGAUGACUAUACCAUGGUCACAUGAGUAAUAAUUAAGAUACAUAGUUCAUGAUAAUUAAAGGAUGAUUCAAGCACAUUCAUAUGUUUGUUCCAUAAUUUUUUUUUGAAUUAUUAAUUAAUUGUUUUUGAUUCACCGAAUCUUACCCUUUCAACGGGGUCAAUAAAAAAUUAAAAUAUGAACUAAUUUAAAACUUAAAUCAAAUAUUUUAUUCUUACUUAUUCUGAUUAUAACAUUCCAAGAAAAGAAGAAGUUAAGUCUAUAUAUAUAUAGUUGCACUAUAUAUGCAUAGAUCACUGAAGUUUAUAUAUAAAUACACUUCCAAAAUAUUCUAUUUCAAUUUUAAGUUUAAGCGUUUUUUUAACUUUAACAAAAUAUUAUCUAAAAAUAAUCACAAGUUUUUCUUUCAAUAUGUCCAAAAGUAAAAUUGAAAUGGAUUGAUGCAAUAGUCCUCUGUAUGAACAGUAGAAAAACUUGCGGAACUUGUGGAGUACGUAUUAGAUUGAGUCUACCUCUUGAUAAUUGGCUAUGCUAAAUUUCGAAUAAUUUGACCAACUCAAAUUUUGCCAAUAAUUAGGUCCACUUGUGAUAUAUAGUAUAUGUAUAAAUACUUUGGACUCUUAAUUAUUAACGUGUCCUACCUUCUAACCAUGGUUGUUAUAUAUGUCCAAUGGCGGAUACAAGAUUUUAAAGUCGUGGGUGCUCACUGAUAAAAAAUUUGAAAGAAGAGGAAAAAAGAGUUUAGUUAUGGGUGCUCAAUCAAUAUUUACCUAAAUAUUUUUAUAAUUACCUAUACAAAUUUACUAAAUCUUGUCAAAGAUAAUGGGUGCUUGAGCACCCAAAAUUAGCAUGUAGAUCCGCCCCUGUAUAUGUCUAGUAUAAUCUCAUAUACCAUUCAUUUAAGAGUGUAACUUAUAUACUACGGCAACAACAACACAACGCAGUAAAAUUCUACAAACGCAGACCGAGAGGGAUAGAGAGGUUGUUUUCGAAAGAUCCUCAACUCAAGAAGAAAAAAAAUAAACAUUAGACAAUGUAACUUAUAUAUACAAUCACAUGCUAAAUAAUUUUACACUAUUCAUUCACAUUUAACUUUAGUAGACAAGCUUUUCUAGAACAGGUAAGUUACCUUAUUUUAGCAUUAUAAAUUUCACUUUUUAUGGGAUUACCUUUAUAUAUAUAUAUAAAGAGAACCUGAUAAUUAAAACCUUUACGUUGUCGGUGUAUACAAAGUCCUCUAAUAUACACCCCCCCCCCCCCCAAACCAAACCCUUUAAAGCUUAGAUAUAAAAAUACACUAAAGGCUCAAAAUUUCUUGAGUUGCCUAAAACAUAUUGACCAAAACCUAAGAGUACUUUUGAGUUUCCUGCCAUACAUAGUGUGUAUAAAAUUUUAAAAAGAAAUAAACUUGUUGUAGACGUAAGUAUACAUAAAAUUUGAUACGGCUCUUUCCAAAUUCCAACUAAUUUUAGGUGUUGUGGAAUUCAACAUAUAGGUGUUGAAAAAGAAAAAUAGAAGAUUUCAACAUAUAGGUGCUAAAAUCACUGUUUAUGAGUCAAUGUAUAUGUCGUUCUUAAUGUCAAUUCUCUCUGUCCCAUCCUUUUAAAAUAUUUUCAACUACUUGUUUUCUGUUUCUUAGUAAGAAAAUGAUGUAACUUCAUUGUUUCUUUUUCUCUAUAACCACCAAAAUCUUGUUUCUUAAUUAGUCCUUGUCGAUACAAAAUAAUAUGGUUAAUUAAUUUCUCCGUCCUUUGUUAUAAGACUACCUGGUCCGAAUGAUGCAACAGCUUAUUCAAAGAGAUAAGAUGGUUAUUGGUUAGAUUAAGAUGUGUUAAUCAAGAUUGAGAAGAUUAACGACAACACAUGCAACUGCCUGUAUGGCUAAUAUUUGUCAUGCAUAUUAAGUGCAUUAAACAUACAUUAUGUAACUGCCUGUUGUGGGUGUAUUUACAAACAUAAGCGUUCUCAUUUAUCAAAUCUUGCCUCCAUUUUUGUCAUAUAUGCAUUAGUCUCAGAGGGUGUUUGGCUAAGCUUAUAAGGGGGUUAAACUGACUUAUAAACACUUUUUGGCUUAUCUACGCGUUUGAUAAAAUUAAAAGUGCUUAUAAGUUAAGUGUUUAUAAGCCAAAAGCCAUAAGUUGGUCUCCUCGGCCCCAACUUAUUAAAUUUCAGCUUAUAAGCACUUAGUUUCACUAAAAUAUUUUCUAUUCUAUCCCUAAAAUACUUUUUUUUAAAAGAAAACUUUUCGUAUACCUAGUUCUUCAGCAGCAUAGUAUUAAUUUCAGCACUUUUAUCCAAACACUUAACUGUUUAUUUUUUAAAUCAGUUUCAGCACUUAAAAAUGCUUUUCAGCAUCUAAUGCUUAUCAGCUACUCUAAAUCAGCUAAGUCAAGCGGCCUCUUAAUCCAAAUUAUACGUCUUGAUUUGAAAGACGAUCAAGUAAGACGACGUAAAUGACGAAUACAUUGCACCCUACCCAGGAUUUUCUAUUUUGCAAGUUGUUCAACUAGUACAAAAUCUCUCUCAGUUAAUAGUUAUCGAACUAAACCAAUAAUUAAUUAGUAAACAAGUAGGAGAAAAUCUUUUGCACUGUUCUAACAAACAUAUAUCUUCGAAUACUAUCCACUUCAGUGUUUUGAUUCAAUUGGCAGAAGCCCAUAGUUAAGAAAUCUGUGAUCUCAACAUAAGCUUUUUUAUAUUUUAUUUAUUGUUAAGGGAAGUGGGAAGUGAUUAUUUGAUAUUAUUAAUAUUGAAGUUUGUUUGGUUCUGUUUCUUGGAAACUCUUUCUAAUUACGUCGAUACUCAUUUACUAGUCCUGACAUACCAACCAGGCAAGAAUAUUAUUGAAUUAUUCUUGAUUAAUUAUUUAAAUCAAGGUCAUAUACAAAAAUAAGAAUUUUUAAUUCCACGGAGUUCUCAUACUUACAUAGGCAUCUUGCUAUUUGCUAUAUCCAAUAGUUUCGUGUCUGAGAAAAUCAUUUUAAAUAUAGGAAUGUCUAUGUCAUCACAAAUGAUUCCAUACCAAAUUAUGCCCUGAGAGAGUAAAAAGAUACCAAAAUAAAAUCUGAUUAAAAAUAGAAGAAAAUCUAACGAUUUUGACCUCUCUGAUCAGCUGAUGGAUAAUUUAAGAUGAAGAUUGUGACAGUUAAUGUGUUCCUUAGAAGAGGCGGAGUUAAAAGAUAUGAAGUUUUUGAGUUCGGAAUUCUAAUCUUUUUAAGUUAUUGGGUUCAAAGUUAAUAAUUAUAUAUAAUUUAAUAAUUUUUUUUAGACAAAUACCGAAUUUGAACCAAAGUUACUAAAUUCGGCGCUAGCUAGCUCGCCACAGUUUCCUAGCAUAAUCAUUCAUCAUCUUUGUAAUUUAACUUUAAAUUAUAACUCUAGCUAGUGAUAUAGGUUUAGUGUUGCGUGAAAAAAGAGUUUUUUAGGUUUUGUCUAGUUUUUCAUUAAUUGCUAAAGUAAAGUUUUUCAAAAACUUUCAUAAUCAGAUUAUAUAUACCAUGUAAUACUCUUAUCAUCCUACUCAGCAUAAAGAUCAAGCAACAAAAAUUAGAUUUUCGGGAAAAAACGUGCUGUUUGUUAUAUAUAAUAAUCUUUAAAAUUCCCUCUCUUAUUAGAGCCAAGGGAAUUACGAGGCAAUUUGCAAACACAAAGUAUGAAUGACUGUAAAUACAAAAUACUACGUAUAGUAGAAGAGUAAUUUUUAUCCUCUCCCUACCGUUUAAAAACCAAAGCAUAGACCAACAUCUAUUAGGCUAUAGCCUAUAGACUAAGUUAUUAUAGAGAAAUUGAUCUAUAAUUGAGCGCAUUCAUUUAUAUGGCAAUUAUAAUAACAAACAAUUAUUCUCCAUGAUAGAGGUAACAGUAGCAAAUAGCUGAACUCCGGACUUUUUAUUAGAAGCUAUACUUAUAUUAUAUUCAUUUUUAAGAAUAAAAUUUUUUUGCAAUCUCUUAUAAUUUAGCCCUUUGUUGCUCCCAUUCGUCCAAAAAAAUAUGUUUGAGCUUCGCUUAUGAUGUUUUAAAGAGCAACACUGGUGAGUGAUACUUGCAAUUUUUUUUAGACAAUAUAAUCUAAAUUACUGGUGAUGGGCUUAAUGAUUAAAAUCAGCUGCCAUGAUUCGGAUAGACAUAAAAUUCUAAUGCAAUAAUUUAGGAAACAAAUCUAAAUAGUACAAUUAGCUGAUUUACACCUAAUUGGAGAAUUUUUAAAUGGGGGAUCCUUUCCAGGGCCCAAGAUUUGAUAUGAAAGAAUAAAUUCAAUAAAAAUGAACUGGCAUCAUCUUUAAUUCCUUAUAUUAUUAAGCUCAUGAAAUGUUAUAAUUAAUUAGUACUCUAAUAGUCUGAAAUGUUCUCUCGGGUUGAAAUAUAUUAAUGGUAUAGAGGGCACUUGUAUCCCCUCUCAUUUAUCUAGUUAUAGUUUCAUAUAUUUUUAUUUAGGUGGAGGUUAUCUUUAUGUAAUUGGUUGCAAUUAGUUUUUUUAGAAUUUGUUCGAUUGUAUUAUCUUCUAUGUGCACACGAACUAUAAAUUUCACUUAUAAGGGGCGGAUUUAGCUUUAAGGUUAUGGGUCCCGUGAACCCAGUAAUUUUUGUUCAAAUCAUGUAUUUGUAUUAAAAAAUUGACUAAAUAUCUAUAAAUAUUUGAUUGGGAACCCAAUUAUUAUUGUAUAUAUAUAACUCGAGAUUGUUGUAGAAACCCAUAUCUUGAAUCCGCUUCUACAGUUAUAAAUACAAGUUAAAAUAGUUAUGAGCAUGGCUCACGAUUUGAUCCUUCAAUCUUUGACUUUCAUCUUUGUACCACAACAUGCGAAGUCAUGGGUUCAAGUCUUUCUAACUUCGUGUUACUAGAAAAGGAAACUUUGAAAUUUAACAAAAAUCAGAAAGUAAACCCUUUAAGCUCCAUCCAUUAAUCUAAGUUGUAAAAGUUUUCAUAUGUUUCUUCAUCUUUUCUUUUGGCUUUGAAUGAGUUGGAACUGACCCCAAUUGUAUUCAUUUAGUUCUGCAACCUUGUUUUUUAUCCAACAUUGUGUCAAAUUUUGUUAUAUUGAGUUACAUAAAAUACUUCUUUUACUUUAAAGAAAAACAAAGCUUUAGGUACAGUGAUUUGUUCACUACUUUUGUCUAUCAAAAGUGCAAAGCAAGAAGCACAACAGGGACCAAAGCAAAAUGCAAAAAAGAACUCACUCUAAAAACACUCCAGCUCACUAGUGAUAUUAUCUGUUUUGGUUUAGGCCGGCACGACUUUAAAAUACUCACUAGUGAUAUUAACUGCUUUGAACCACGUCAUUAGGGUCUAAAAUUUAUUUACUUAUAUACGAAGCAUUUCUCCCGUAUUUUAUUGAUGUAGAAUUCGUCUUGAAUGUCACCAAGCCAGGGUUAAUUAAAACUAGGAGAAGAAUCUCUCCACUUCCUAUUGCUACUACCUUUCACUUACUCCAAUUAUUCUUCCUUAGAUUUGAUUCUUAUUCUUUUCUCCUGUUUAUUAUAAAGUUUGCAUAAAAUAUAUAGCAGAAAAAGUUAUCUUGUACAACUUUAGGGAUACCAAUAUCACCAAAACUCCUUGAAAAAGUAAAGAAACCACAAAAGGAGUAAUUUACCACAUGGGUGCAUGGAUUGUGAUAAAACAAGAGGUACUUCAAAUUUUUCACUUUCCUUGUCACCUUACUACUUUUACAAAUAAUUUUCUCUCUCACACCCCCCUUUCAUUUAAAACAAAAGGUACUUUUACUACUUGUCCAAUACCUAUAGUAUAACUACUCAUUUCAAAUCAUUUUCUCAAAUCCAUUAAAAAUAUGUAUCAAUUAAUAUGAAUAUUAUGGUAAAUUCUGCACUUUAUUUAUUAUUUUUUAAGGGGCGUGCAAAGUCAAUAAUAGACUAGUAAAAGUGAACAGAGGGAGUAAAUACUAAACAAGAUGCAUGUUACGUGUGCUUAGUUUGUGCCUUUUGCUUAUACAUAUACUCCUAUUAUAGUAAGUAAUCAUUUCUAUUUACCAUCGUUUAAGUUUAAACAUUUCAAUUAACUGUAGCAUAAAAACUUUACCUUCGCUGAAUUUUGAUCCUUAAAGAUCUUACUCAUUAAUGGUAAAAAAUCAGCUAGUGGAAGCUGGCCUCUUAGGAAAAAUAGCUUAAGAGUUAAGACUAUGUACAAUAAAUGUAAUAUGAUCCGCUCUUUCUUGAACUUGGUGCACAACAUGAGCUUAGUCUACCGAGUGCCUUUUUAUCGGUAAGAAUUAACCACUUAAUUCUCAAAAAGAAUUUUAGUCCGGUGCAUGAAAUAUCCCAUAUUCAUGCAGGGUCGAGAAAGGGCGGCAGCCCAGGGUAUGAUAUAAGCAGUUUACCAUGAUGCAAGCAUUAAUGGCUAAUUCUACUGCCCAAACCCGUAACUUAUAAUCACACGAAGACUAUCUACCGUUGUUCUAAGGCUCACCUUUAAUAAUUCUCGAUUUCUGUUGGGCAAUUAAUGAGAUUGAUGACCAUAUCAUUACUUAUAAACGGUAGCAUAGUUAAAAAAAAUCUGGUUCUCCUAUCCAAGUAAAAAUCUUUUUUUUUUUUUUUUUUUUUUUUGGAAAUCAUGAUCAUGUGAUGAGUGCAACCAUUCAAAGAGCAAGCAAUUGACACCUGAAAGACAAUGUUUAGCAAAUGUGUAUGAUUAUGAAAACACAAGGAAGAAGGAAUGGUCGAUCAAUUAUUUGUAUUUGGCCUAACUUUUGUCAAUAUUUAGCCAGCUAGAUUCAUGUUCAAAAUUAAUAAAGUUUUAGUUCCAUUAAGCUGCAGUAGCAUAUGUCUAUUUAUUAUUAACAGUUGUUUCGAGACUCAAAUAUAUGGGCCACCUUAGAAGCUGGAAUACUACAAAUUAUAUAUAACACUUGUUUUUGGAAUGCGAAUCUUCUAAAAUCUUGGCAAUACUUAUCUUGUUUUGCCUUGUUUUUGUGUCUUUUUGUCAUUAUAGGUGUGCCUUAUAUUUCAAACUUCUAUGUUUAAGCUUAAGAAAAUUUGAAAAGAAAAAAAAAACCACGUUUUGCCUCCUAAUCAUAGCUUAACCCUUUCAUCUGUAGGUUCUCUUAAAGAUUAAUUCAAUCACAUGCUAAACUUGAUUAAUAAUUGACAUACUAAACUUGAAAUUGAUAAGUAGCGGAGAUCGAAUUAUUCAAAAAUAAUGUAUUUUCAGAGGCUUUGACGAAGAUGCAAUGACAUCCGUAAAGGAAUGGAGAUGAAUACAUUAAUAUUUUUGAAAUUUUUUAACAACAUAAAACUUAUGCUUUAGAUUCUGAGAUAUUUUCUUGAGCCGAAGGUCUAUCAAAAACAAUCUAUCUAUAUGCAAAAGAUACGGAUAACAUUUGCGUACAAAUUACCUUCACCAAAUCGUAUGAAAUUAUAAUGAAUAUGUUGUUGUAUUCUGAGAUAUUUUCUGUGAUAGAGAACAUUAAAUCCAAAAGCUUUAAUCUUCAAAUUAACUUGGUCGGAGUUGGAUGAGACCUGAUGAAUGAAAUGAUACGAUUUGUUUAAUUCUCCAAUAAAUCAUGAAUAGUAGAUUAACUGAUUAAGUGAGUCAGAGUACACAAACCAAAUGUCAAUCAGAAUAAACAAGAAAAGAAAUCAAGAAGUCUAGUCAGCCCAGACAAGUGGCAUUGCAUGUUGAAUAAUGAGAGGAUCCAAACUAAAGGGCAAAAAUAAGAAAGACGGUAAAAUUAAAACAGUGAACAAAAUGGACAAAAACAGUGACAAAUUAAAACGAUUCACUGGUGUGAUGUUUGCACAGUGAGUGCGUUAUUUGUUGGUUAUAUAGAAUAUUAUUAUAAUGACAAGUGAUUGAAUAAAUGUGGCUAUGUCCUACCAUGUACCCAAUUAAUGAAACCCUAUAGACUCUGAUAUAUGAUUGGCCAAAGCCUUUCAUUUGGAUUCUUGGUUAAAGUUAAUAUAUAUAUAUGUGUAAAAAGUCGUUUUACGUUAUCAACGCAGUUUAGUUAAUGAUAAUAAGAUGAAAAUAGCAUGGGUUUUUGGAUUGGUAAUUGAAAAAUAGUCAGCAUUUGUAUAGUCAAAGAAAAAUAACCACUGUUUUGCUAAAACACAUAAAGUUAAGCAUAAUAUGCUGGAUUAUGGAGCUCAUGCGUAUAAAUUUUCAGCAUAUUAUGUUGUUGGACUCCAACACACGGAAAGUUCCAGCAUACUAUGCUGGAUUAUGGAGCUCUUGCAUAUAAAUUUUCAACACAUUAUGUUGGAACUUCAGCAUAUUAUGAAAUUCCAGUAUACUAUGCUAGAAUCUCAUAUGUAAAAUUUUCGAACUUCAGCAUAGUAUGCUGGAAUUUUUUCAGAUUUUUAAGGGUGUUUCUGUUCACAUGUUAUCUUUACAUAAAAAAGUGGUUAAAUUUCGAUUACUCUUAAACUGUGACCAUUUUUUAAGUAUCACUUGUAAAUCUAACUAGGUAAGAAAACCUAAUAUUUAGGAAUUUAAAUCAAUAAAUAUUUUACCUUAUAUAAGUUAUACUAAUUGAACAUAAUUCCUUUCUGAUGUGCACGUUCUAAUAUGGUGGCUUCAAAUGAUUUUCAAUCAAAAACUUAAAUAAUGGGAACAUAAAAUCAUAGAUUAAAUUAAAAGUAUUUAAUACAAUAAUGUAUAAACUAAAAUUGUUUUAACGCGAAACAAUCAAAUAUGCAUUUUAAAUAUUCUUAUUUUAAUCAAAUAAAAUAUUUAAUCCAUGUUCAAAUAAGCACCCAAAAUGAUUAUUUGAUGCCUUAUAUAAUCAUAUUAACUAGUACAAGCCUAAAUUUAUAUAAUAAAAACACGAAACCUCAACAUGAAAUGUAAUUAAAUUUGUAUCCUUUAAAAAUAAAUUUCAUAGUGAAUAAAAAUGUAAUAUAAAUAUUUAAGACUAGAAUUAAUUAAAAGUUUGCUUAUUAAUUUUUUUUUAUGUGAACUAUGUAGGAAAUCCAAAUAUUUAGGACUUUCAAAUGAAUUAUAUAUAAAAAAAAAUAUCUAAAUUAAUAUGUGCACAAACACAAUUAGUGAAUUCAAUAAGUUUUUAUAGUAAUUUGUUCGUUCUAUAACUUAUGUUUUAAUGCCCACGCAUGUUUCGACAAUGUAAUAUAAAUCAUAAAUUCUUUUUUUUUUAACAAUUAAAACCUCACUACAUGGAUAAUAUCAAAACCUUUGAACGGAGAUAAAUUGAGAAAACAUAUGAUUCAUAUUUUUAAAAUAUGUUAUUCAAUAAAUCUUUAAAGAAUCGGAAUAAAAGUCUAUACCUUGUUUGUGUCUUCUCGAAUGAACUUGAGAAUAGCUUUUUAAAAAAUUGAAAUAAUCUGAAAUCUUCAAGAGCUAUGCAUUCUUAUUGAAACUAACAAAAAAGCACGAUAACUCAUGAAAUUAAAAUGACAAAACUAUAAAUUGGAACAUAAUUAAAAGUAAAUAUAUUGAAUAAUGUUUGAGGGCUCUUAUGAACAAAGUUUUUUCUUUUAUUGUAUUAGUUAUAGAGGAUCAAUAGUCAUCAAUUUCAACAGCUUAUACUUUAUUUAUAACUCAAACAUAAUUUAAAACAUAUAUAAUUUUCUUACAAAAUAUUACUCAUUGAGACGGGGAACACGCGCAUCGCCCGUACACCAAAACUAGUAAUUAAAAUAUAGCCACAGUUUCAAAAGUAAUUGAAAUUUAGCCAUUUUUUCAUGUAAAGAUAAAAUCUGAACAAAAACACCCUUAAAAAUUCUGAAAAAUUCCAGCAUAAUAUGCUAGCCGCUAGGGUUCGAAUUUUUUACAUAUGAGAUUCCAGUAUAAUAUGUUGAAAUUUCAUAAUGUAUUUGAGUUUCGACAUAAUAUGCAGGGGAAGUUUAAAAAAGGAGGAACUUCAUAAUCCAGCAUAUUUUGCUGGAAUUUUUCAUGUUUCAGGAAAACAGUGACUAUUUUUUAAUGACUUUGCAAACGCUGACGAUUUUUUCGAUUACCAAUCCGAAAACUAACUAGCCCGUGCUAUUUUCACAAUAGUAUUUGGUGCAAGAAAAUCUAAGAGUGUAGUAUAGUAGCUAGAAAGUCCAUUAUUAUAGAAUAAUUAUAGGACUAGGGCACCACUGCCAGUUGCCCACAUCAUGAUUGUGAUUAAUUGGGACCAUUUUUAUUCAAUCUUUUAAUGUUUUAUUAUAACUACUCAUUGUUCAAUAAGUCUUGACUUAGUUUCUUUUGAUGGGGUAUAUCCACUCCUUUUAUCUUUCCGAGUUCUGUUCAUACAAAUUAUAGAGGUGCAAGUUGCAACAAUUAACACAUGAUAAAAGAAAAGGUCGUCACGUACAUGAAAGUUAUUGUGCAGAGUCUUAUUUUGUAUUUUUUAAGAGACUAUUUUAGCUAUUUGAACUCGUAACCUUCUAAUCACACGUAACAAUUCUAAUCACACGUAACAAUUCUAAUCGUUGUUUCAACGCUCCGUUCAGGCAUUAGUUUCAUUGGACAAGAUUUAUUCAAUUUUAUUCACAUUAGAAUAAAAAUGAAUAUAAGCAUUGGUGAUGCAAGUUGUCUCUGUGUUACCUAUAUGUCACGGGUUCGGCGACUGAUUAGGGUAGACUGCCCACAUCACACCCCUUAAGAUGUGGCCCUUUUCCGGAUCCAACGUAAAUACUUUGUGCACAGGGCUGCCCUUUUUACUGAUGCAAGAUCGUAUCUAUUAGUUUAGUAAUCAGAUUUUCCUCCAGAAAAUUUGUUACGCCGCCUCUAAUCCAGAGGAAAACUAUAACUUGGACGAAUCAACAGAUUUCAUGUGACUGAAAAGUCAAUACUGUUUUUCUGAUGAUUACAAAAAUAUAAAAUAAAAAUACAUAAAAAUUGGUUUUCAUAAGCUUGAUCAAAUAACUCGUGCCAAAGAAAAAAGAAAGGAAAAGAUUUAAUGGUGGGCUUACAGUGAUUAAAUAUGUGGAACAGACCAAGUCAUAGCCACUUCACAAUUCAGUAGAGCUCAUCUUUGUUGACUAUCAAACUCCAAAAGCCCAGAAAACCUAAAUCCUGCACAACAUUUGCAUGCUAGACUCAAAAUCAUAAUAAAAAAUAUAUACUCAAAUGUGAUUUUUUAAAGCAUAUUCAGUACUCUAGCAAGCUAAGGCACAAGAAAGAAGUAAAACUUAGCAUUAUACUCUAAUUUUACCGGCAAAAACUUCUAUGCUUGUGACAACAUUUCCUCUUCUUUUUUUUUUCCCUGAAACAAAGUUUAUAUUAUUGCAAUAAGGAUAUUCAUGUCCAAAGGAGUGUACUGCAUCAUUUACGAGCCAACUUGGGAUUAUUCAUGUCCAAAGGAACACAUCAGACAUCAUCUCGAUACAGCAAAAUGGCUUCUGAUGAUCUUAGGAUUAUCUGUUUGAUCCCAGAAUUCCUCAUCCCACGGCUUCCCACCAAUUCCAACAGCACAUGGAGCUUUGUGUCUCACUUCUGCUAGACUACCUGAGAAAGACCAAACAAAGAAGGAAGAAUCAGAGAAACAAUUUUUUUUACAUUGUGCAUUGAUCAAAAAGGGAGCCUUGGCGUAACGGAUAAAGUUGCUGCCAUGUAACCGGGAGUUCACGGGUUCGGGCCGCGAAAAAAGCCUAAGGCUGCGUACUAUAGACCCUUGUAGUCCGGCCCUUCCCCCGAUCCCGCGCAUAGCGGGAGCUUAGUGCACCGGGUUGCCCUUUUGUGCUUUGGUCACUCCAUAUGGAUGUAGGUGUUCUAUUGACUAGACUAAAACUUUUACCUGUUCAAGGGGCGAUGCAUAGAAGUUCCCAGCUGAAUUACCCUUCUGUUAUAGUCUUAUAGAGGCAGCAUCAACACAUGAAAGGGAUACUAGAGGUACAUAUGCUGUGAAAAGGAACUCAUUACACUCAGAUCAGCCACUGCAAUGUGUAUUUUGCAGAAAAGAUAGAAAACUCACUCAGUCUGAGGAGAGCUGUGAGUGUAAACCUUCAAGUCCCUGGAUUGAGAAUGAAAAGCUGGUGACUGAACGCAUAAGAAUUUCCUGAUCAUGGAAGAUAUUUAGUUGGAUUUCUAACUCAGGGAAGGUCAAUUCCACAGAGAUAAAUACUUCAUAGAGAGUUUUCCUCUCAAUUCUACACUAGUAAAAGAAUAAUUCUUUUAGGAAUGCUAAUAAAACCACUCCCUAUCACUGUUAAAUUAUCCAACUGCAGGGAGCGUAUUCAUUGCCUUGGUACAUAAACUCAUACAUUUCUCCCCCGAGGAAAGUAUAAUAGUAGACAGCAUCAGUGGCACAAAAUAUGCAAGGCACAAGUACUUGUAGCGAGAGUGGAGACUGACUGAGAAUUACUAUAUAUCCCAAAGUCGUCAAUGGAAAACUUAAGCAGUCGAAAUAGGUAUAUCAUUCAUAAAAUAUGUGAAGAAUAUGCAACAAAAAAGUUGACGCUGAGCAUGUAAACAACAAAUGUAUUGUAAUACUCAAAUAUUGAAUCAUUGGUGUAAAAUUUCCAGCAGGUUAAAGAAUAUUGUUACUUCACUUUCACCAACAAAAUCAGCUCUUAAAUCUUGCUUUUGUUAUUUUCCUUUAAAGUUAAACUAAGAAAACUCGAAUCUCUAAUUAAGAAUAAAGACUAGCUCAAGAAUAUUAUUUUUUAAUUGGUGGAUCAUGGUAAUGUAAGGGCCAGCUUGUGCACCCUCAACUAUUCCGUAGGAAUACUAGGUAAAUUUGCCCCCAUCAAAGCUUAGACAGAGGGAAAUAUAUCGCCUAGCUUUAUUUUACCAUCACCGAGAGUUGAACCCUGGUCUCUGAUGAUCUUCGCUCCAACAUCAUUGACUGCAAGACACACCCUUGGGAUCCACAUACAAAGGCUAGCUCGGUCCUCAUACAAGUAGGAAAAAGUACAUGAUCUCAGAUGAACACUUGGUAAGAAGAAAGACUAUCUGUUUAGCAUAUGUACAAUAUGAUACAGGGCCUAUCGACUAGUGUCAUUAUCCAGAUUUCUCUCAACCAUUUACAAGACCUCUGACCAUAACAAAGAAGCUUCAUACAUACAGCAAUACAGCAUUUGAGUGGCUAUGGUUUGGACCAUCAUCUGUACAUUGUCAAAGGGAUCCUCUUUAUUUCAUGCAAAACUUUUCUUCAGAAAAAUGUGGACGUAUCAAUUCCUUGGAGAAGAGGAGACUUAUCUGAAAGAAAAUGACUGUCAUGAUCACCUACCUACCAAUAAUUGCCACAGGAACAAUAACCAUCUUUAAAGUGAUGCAAGCACUUAGAAUCAUGUAUAUAUAUUUCACGUUCAUAUUCCUGAGAAAUACAUUUGGCAGUCCUAUGGCAAUCUUCACACAUUCUGAGGUUCUUAACAAUUCGGAUCACUCGAGAUGAUUGAGGAUUGUUAAUGAGAGCAAAAGAAAGUGCAAGUUUCUCACUAUGAACUCUACUAAUAUCUUCCUUCUCCUCUUCUCUGAUGCAGAGCCUAUUGCAAGGACUGGAUCCCUCCAUUUUUACUUCUUUUCUUUUUAUCCAAGAAUCUGGAACCUCAGAAUUGCUCUGCUGACCUGAAGCAAAAGCAUGCACCACGUUGUUGAUCUCUGUCCAGCUCCAACUAAGAGAUUCUUCACAAUGAUUUCUUUUUCUAGGUCUCAGCACAGUUACUGAUUCUUCAGAAAUCCCACGUAGAGCAUACAACUGUAAGAGCAACUGAUAAAUCACUACAUUUCCUGAAUCCAGUUUGAGUAAUUGUUCCCCAGCAUGGAUAGCUAAAGUCAAAUUACCGUGCACGCGAGAAGCAGUCAGCAAUGCACCCCAUAAAGAAAUAUCACGCUCCACGAUCAUAUUGUCUAUAAAUUCAAUUGCUUCUUCAAGUUUACCUGAACGACCAUAUAAAUUAACCAUAGCCACACAAUGUUCUAGACCUGGUACAAUCUGAUACUCUUCGGAUAUGCUAGAGAACACACUCUUCCCCUCAUCAACCAUUUUGGCUAGACCAUAAGAUGAAAUCACACUCGAGAAAGUACCCCUGUUUGGUUUAAGACCUGCCUCUUUCAUUUGAUGAAAUAGCUUUAUUGCCUCACUAGAACAGCCAUGUAAAACAUAACCAGCAAUCAAUGUGUUCCAGGAAAUGAUAUCUUUGGUUGACAUCCCAUCAAAUAUUGCUUUCGAGUAUUUUAUGCCCCCAGACUUGGAAUAUGUGUCUAUAAGAGAAUUAGCAACGGAGAGCUCAUUUUCCAGAUUGCAACGCAGAACACAACAAUGUAUCUCUUUCACCUUCUUUGCAGCAAUUAAGUUUGCACAAGCUGGUAGAAUGGACAAAAUGGUAACUGCGUUGGGCUUAAAACCAAAUGACUGCAUUUUCCGAAAAAUGCCCAAUGCUUUGUCCUUCUGUCCAUUUUGCAAAUAGCCAGCGAUGAGAGCGUUCCAUGAGGCAGUAUCCUGCUCAAUGCUCCCGUCCUUCUCCAUCCUCCAGAACAGAUCCAAUGCUUGAUCCUCAUCACCUUUUUGCAUGUGUCCUGUAAUCAUAACAUUCCACGUGAUAACAUUAGGUGAUACCUCAGAAUCAUGCAUCUUCGUAAAAAGAUCAUGGGCUUUUCCAAAGUACCCGGCUUGGCAGUACCCUCCAAUCAUGGAAUUCCAACUGUAGACAUCUCUCUCUGGGAUCAUAUCAAAGACCAACCGAGCAGCUUCAAGUUUACCACAUUUGGAAUAUAAGUCAACCAAAGCAUUCCCAACAAUUACCUCUCCAUCAAAUCCCAACUUUGCAACCAAAGAGUGAAGUUCUCUUCCCUUCUUCAGGUCUUUAAGAGACGCACAAGCUGAAAUUAUGCUUGUAAGUGUUACUUCACUUGGUGUGACUCCAUUGGAACUCAUCUCCCGGAACAAUUCUAAUGCCUGACUGUUCCUGUUAUGUUGAGCCAAACCUGAAAUCAUACACGUCCAAGUGAAAACAUCCGCCAUUAUCCCAUUACCCUCCAUCUCCUUCAUAACUUCCAGCGCCUCAUCACACUUGCCUAACUGAUUAUAGCUAGCUAUCAAUGUAUUCCAGGUGAUCAAACCUGGUUCUACGCCUUCAAGAUGCAUUAAGUCCAAUAACCUCCGCGCCUCCACAAUCUCACUCUUGUGACAAUACGCCAUUAUAAUCGAAUUCCAAGACACUGUAUCCCUUUUCUCCAUACUCUCGAAAAGCCUCUUUGCACAAACUAACAACCCACAUUUUGCAUAAACAGCUAGAAGCGAGUUAUUCACACGGAUUUCAGAACUCAUUCCAUAUCGAAUCGCUAUAGAAUGAAUCAACUUUCCAGUCUCAAUAUCCCCACAAUUCCCACAAGCUUGUAAAAUCUUAGGGAACAAAAAGCUAUCAGGUACAACACCAUCCUCCAUCAUCAUGUAAAAAAGGUCCACAACUUCACCCCACCUACUAUCUCUUGAACAAGCACCGAUCAUAGCAGACCAAGCAAAUAAAUCCCUCUCACGCAUUUCAUCAAACAAUUGGUAUGCUUCUUGUAAAGACCCACAUUUCGAAUACAUCCCUAACAACUUAGUUUCAAUAAAAGGGUCAACUUUUUUCAGUAAAAAUUUCAUCUUUUUAUGAAGUUUACGUCCCAAAUGUAGUGACUUCGAAUUGAUGCAAGAUUCUAUAACUUUUGAGAAAGUUUCGGGUUUUACCUUAUACCCAUAUUGUGAAAUCGAUUCUAAAGCUGUUAUGGCUUCACUGAGGCGCCCAUUUGUGCAGAGAUAAUUCAAAUGCGUAUCUGUGAAUCUUGGUUCAUAAUUGAUAGGUGCUUUUGAUUUUGGGUGAUAAUUUUGGGGCAAUUCUGAAAUUGUCGGAAAAAUUGAUUUGCAAGGAAGAAUUACACUCUCCAUUGGAGAGUGCUUAAUUUUUCUUUUUCCUUUUUUCUUUCUUGUUGGAGUUACGAUUAAUUUGUUCUUGGUGAAGAGUAACUGAUCAUUGAGUUACAGAUAGCCACAGGAGCUGACAUGAUUCUCUGUGAUCACUUUUUAUUGCGUGUCCCCUUUCAACCAAUCAGAAAUUGACAACUCGGAUUAUCCAGAAAAUGGCCAACUUGGAUUAUCCAUAACUAGGCUCAAUUGGGCCAACACUUCUGCUUUAUUUUGAACUCAACUUUAGUAUGUGGGCCUACAGCGUUUUAAGACAGAUUUAGUUGAAUGGACUUAUUUGGAAGAAUUCAGGUAGAAAUGAUACCAGGUAACCAUUUUAUAGGACUACUAUUUAAGAAUUAGCCAAUAUAUGUUGAAUUUCAUUUUUCUCGUUCAAUUUUUAGGGAUACAAAUGUCCUUGUCCUGAAAUAAAAAUUUUAGUUCAAAUUCUCAAGACAAAAUAAGCACUGAUUAAUUCCUAAAUAGCAGCCCUAAGAAUGACCGUUUGUGUACUCCUCCUGAAUCAGUCAGAGGCAACGAGCGGAAACCUUUCGAACCGAACUCGACUUCGACCUCUUCGGGCUAGUAUUUUGGGCUAUCUUUUAAAUUGAGUUUGAAGCUUUUAGAUUUGAUUUUUGGUGUGAUUUAGCUCCUGUUUUUAAGGUAUUUUUUUUAAACAAGGUAAUGAAUGACUAUAUGUUUUUUUUUUGGUUGAAAGAAAUAGAUAGAAAGAAUAAAACUAGUAGAAAUUCUCUUUAGCAUAGAAGAAGAAAAUUUGUUUUCUCUUAAUAUUCUUCCCUCUUCUCUUCUCUUCUUUUCUUCAAAUAUUUCUCUUCCCUUGGUUUUGUGGUAGUCUGGCUUCACAUUCAUACUUCACAAGGUCAAAAGGAAGCGUUGAAAUGUCUUCAAAAAUUCCUCUGCCAAUAGUUCCUAUUCCAGAGGAUAGUCCGAUCUCGGCCAUCCCAACUUCUGAGUCAGUAACGACUGAGGAAAAUAGAAUUCUGCGUCUCCGCAUGAUGGAAAUGUGGGAGGAAAAUAUUUUUGGAAUUUUUUUUUGAAAAUUAUGGGCCGGAACCGAUGAGGUUUGCCUACGUAUCUCACAUCUGGUGAGAAUCAGACCCGCGUAGUUCGCCAGUUCUGACAGAACAUGGCAGUUGAAAACUUUGGCUCAUUUGGAGAUGAUUUUUUUUUUCCGGAAUUUCGGCAGAGUUUCAGAAUUUUCUAAAUACCUACCUCUCACUCCUAUAUUAUUAUUAUUCUAAAUAAUUAAUCACAUCUUCUUUUCUAAAGCAGGCCUAAUCUUUUCUCCCCAGCAGAGUCGCCAGAGCUGUCACACCUCCUUUUUACACAANNNNNNNNNNNNNNNNNNNNNAUACAAAUCAAAAGGAUAUACGGUAAAAGAAAAAUAAUGGAAACAUUGGUUAAGAGAAGAAUGAACCUUUUAUAGAUGAAGAUCUUAUUCAAUACAUAUGGAGCAAACAACCAUCAAAUUUAAUGUGCAAAUGAACCACAAUCAGAGGCAACGAGCGGAAACCUUUCGAACCGAACUCGACUUCGACCUCUUCGGGCUAGUAUUUUAGGCUAUCUUUUAAAUUGAGUUUGAAGCUUUUGGAUUUGAUUUUUGGUGUGAUUUAGCUCCUGUUUUUGAGGUAUUUUUUUUAAAACAAGGUAAUGAAUGGCUAUAUGUUUUUUUUUUGUUGAAAGAAAUAGGUAGAAAGAAUAAAACUAGUAGAAAUUCUCUUUAGCAUAGAAGAAAAAAAUUUGUUUUCUCUCAAUAUUCUUCCCUCUUCUUUUCUCUUCUUUUCUUCAAAUAUUUCUCUUCUAUUUAUAGGAGAAUUUUCAAAAAAAAUCAGAUUUUUUUAAAUUUUUUUAUUUUUUCAUUUAAAAGAAAUCCCACUUACGUUUUGCUUUUCUUUUUUUAUAAAAAGAAUUACCACAUUUCUUUACUUUUAUUUUUUAAAUUCCAACUUUAAUUACUUUUAUCUUAUUAAUCCCAAUUUUUUUAUUUUUUUAAAAGAGAAUUCCACUUAUUUUACUUUUCUUAAAAAAACAAUCCACUUUCUUUUACUUUUCUUUAAAAUAUUCUACUUCAUAUUAAUUUAAAUUUUUUAAAAUUUUCAGCUACCUUUAUAUUAUUUUUUAAUUCUAACUUUCUUUUACUUUUAUUUUUAUAAAUUUCCACAAAACUUUACUUUUAUUUUUUUAAAUUUUUCACUUUCUUUUACUUUUUUAAAAGAGAAUUCCACCUACUUUUACUUCUUUUUUUUUUAAUUCCAUACUUCCCUUUUUCUUAUUUUUUUUAAAUCUCUCCCGAAAAUUUUAAAAAAAAGUUAAUAUUUUUCGUAUUUUUUAUUAUUAUUUAAAAAUAAGAAUAAAAAUAAAAUAAUAUUAAUAGUAAUAAUUUAUCUUCUAAAAUUUUGUAUUUUUAACCUAUAAUAAAAAGUAUAACAAAACUAAAAAUUUGUAUGUUAAAACCCCCUAAAAUAUUUACAUAGAAGAAGUGACAAAAAAAAAUUAAAUAUUGUCAAAAAUUAGGUGCUCACAGUCCCCAUAGGCCUUGAAAACCAUGUUAGCCCGAUUUUGGAUUUUAGUGUUGUAGCCCGUAGAUUAUGGUAAAAAUAGCACAGGCUAGCCAAUUUUCGAACUGGCCAUUCAAAAAUAGCCAGCGUUUGCAAAGUCAUCGAAACAUAGCCACUAUUUUGCUGCAACACAAAAAGUUCCAACAUAAUAUACUGGAGAUAGGUGCAUCUGCGUAUGAACGUUCCAGCAUAUUAUGUUGGAACUCCAACAUGCGGGAAGUUCCAGUAUAUUAUGCUGAACCGGUAUAUUAUACUGGAACUCCAGUAUAUUUCCAGUAUAAUAUACUGGAAUUUUCAGUAUAUUAUACUGGAAUAUUUUUCCGAAUUUUGAAUAGUGUUUUCGUUCAAAUUUAUCUUUACAUGAAAAGUGGUUAAAUUUCGAUUACUUUUGAAACUGUGGCUAUUUUUGAAUGACCACUUGUAAAUCUGACUAUUUUUGAAUUUCUACUUAGAUUAUGUUGUUAUUUACCCGUCAAAUGCUUUUAAAUUUUUCAAAAUAACGAGUAAACUAAUAUGCACUUUUUUUUUUACAUAUGUUAACGAGUAAAUAAGAAUCUGAACAAGUGUAGUCUACUCAUCUCAUGCUGGAGAUCCGUUGAUGAAAAAGGCUAAUACAAUAUAAUAUGACAAUUUCAAGGAUAUGAAUGAGUCGAAAGUAAAAUGAAAGACAAAAUUGAACAAUGUAGAAUAGUACAUGGACAAACCUAGACCCUUUCUCUUAUAUCUAACACUCAAAGUAAAAGAUUAAGGUACUUUUCAUACGGUCGACUAUAUAGAUUAGUUAAGAGUAAUCCUUUUCAUAUGUCUUCCCAAACAAAGUCUUUCAAGCUAGUUGUUGUAUACUAUCGGUAUUAAAAUUCGAUCUCAAACAUAACUUUUCAUCCUCAAGUUGAAGUGGCGACACGGGGAACAUGGGGACGUAAAGAUUGGGUCCUAUCAAAUUGUUUCGUCCUAGGAUAAUAAGCUUAUGAGCUUUGUCACACUUCACUAUCGAGAAAGGAAAAAAGAUUAUUCUAUCUUCAAGUUUUUCUUUUGGUAAUUAAAUUUCUUUAUUUACCAAGUAAAUAUAUACAAGCAGAUCAAAACAAACUAUAGCAAGUUUGGACAGAUGGCCCCAAACUUGCAUCUUCAUCUCCUCUAAUACUUCUAUCCCUAUCACUUUGCGAUGUUAUAUACAGCUUUAAAGGUAAAAGUUCAAUUCAGUCAUCUUCUGCCGUAAUCUAACACAUAAGGUGCUACGACAAUGCACCUCCUGGAUGAUGUGCCUAACUAUACUCAUCGUUGGUUUGCUCUUUCCAUGGAAUAUUCGCAUAUUCCUCUCUAUCCAUAUAGCGUAGAUAGUAGCUGCAAGUGCCAUCCUGUAAAUUUGUGCUUCAGCAGAUUUCCUUUUCCCCUGUUUCUUUGCCCAUUCCUUUUCUAUUUGCCAUGUCAUCGGUUGCCUUACCAAGCCUUGCCACUUCAGAAUAUUCUUCCAUAUAGUAGCUGAUACUAUGCAUUCAAAAAAUAGAUGUUCAAUGGUCUCCGACAUUGCUUUACAAAGCAUACACCUUAAGUCCCCAAUCUGCAUCCAUUGUGCUAAUCUGUCUCGCAUGAGCAGUCUGUUGUUCAGAGCCGGGUACAGUAUGAAAAUCCAUCUAGGUGAUCCUUGGUUAUUGCAUAUGAGUCGUCUCCAUUCCACCUUUUAAAACUCCUCUCUCAAUUUGUUGUAAAUAACCGUCGUAGAGAACUGUUGCAUGCAUUUGACAUCAUCCCCCAUAUAACCUGCAUCAAUAUAAGUUUCUUUAGCCUUCAAUAUCUUCCUCACCAUCCAUGAAGCUUGUGUUGCUUGUGCAUCCCAAACAGCUCCAUCCUUUAUAUAGUAAAUGUUAUCCACUGGACCCAUAGCUUGUCUUUCUUUUGACAUAGAUUCCACAAUAUUUUACAAAUAGCAGCCUUGUUCCAAGUUCUCACAUCCAAGAAAUUGAGUCUUCCUGCUGUCUUGGGGUAACAGAGCUUGUCCCAUGCUAUUAACGCUUUCUUUGUCAUGUCUAUACUUCCAGUCCAAAGAAACUUCUUAUAUAUUGCUUCAAUUGCCUUCACCACUUUUUGUGGCAGAAUGAAUACCUGAGACCAAAACACUUGUAUGAAAAAUAGGAUAGAUUUGAUUAACUGAACUCUACCAGCAUAGCUUAGUAGUUUUGAAGUCCAUGAGGUGACUCUUCCCAUAAUCUUAUCAAGAAGUGGCUUAUAUUGUAAAAUUAUUGUCCUUUUAGUACUCAGAGGGACCCCUAAGUACCUAAAAGGCAUUUCUCCUUUUGCAAAACCCAACACUUGUAUUAUAUUGUUUUGUUCCUCUUCGUGUACUCCUCCAAAAUAAAUGGAACUUUUUUCUAUGUUUGCCUCUAGACCAGAUGCUUUGGAGAACUGUUGAAAGCAGUUAAACACCAUCUUUAUAGACACUAUAUCUCCUCUGCUGAAUAAUAAGAGGUCAUCUGCAAAGCUCAACUGUACAAUGUUCAGUCAUUCACACUUAUGGUGAUAAUUGAAAUCAGGUUGUCUCUUUAGUGUCUUCAAGAUUCUAAGGAGGUACUCCAUUGCUAGCACAAAUAGGAAGGGCGACAUUGGGUUCCCUUGCCUCAAACCUUUUUUUUUGCAGGGAAAAGGGCAGUAGGGUACCCAUUUAUGAUAACUAAAUAUGAAACUGGACUUAUACAUGCCAUAACCCAUUGUACAAAUUGAAUAGGGAAGUGAAGAUGAGUGAGGAUCUGUUCUAUAAAGCAUCACUCAACUGAGUCGUAAGCCUUUCUCAUAUCUAUCUUCAACAUGCACCUCGGUGAUACCCCUUUCCUUCCAUAGCUCUUCACCAAUUCAUAACUCAGUAUUAUAUUGUCAGUGAUCACUCUUCUUGGUACAAAAGCUGACUGACCCGGAUCAACAAUAUCAUUCAUUACCUCUUGCAUUCUAUGUGUCAGUAUUUUUGAGAUGAUCUUGUACAAUAUCGUACAACAAGAUAUAGGCCUAAACUCAGAGAUUCUCGCUGGAUUUUGUACCUUAGGGACCAGUGUUAUGGUAGUGCAGUUAAUGGUUCUGCACAUGACCCUUGUGUCAAAGAAUUCCAGCACUGCUUUAGUAACAUCUUUUCCUACUACCGGCCAGGCUUUUUUAAAGAACCAUGCAUUGAAGUCAUCACACCCAGGUGCUUUAAGGUCAUUUAUGUCUUUGAGAGCUUAGACAACUUCAUAUGAAGUUACAGGUGCAAUGAGGCCUAAUUGUUAUUGUUUAUUCAGUGUUCUUCCUUCCUGCAUAAUCAUGGAAUUUACAGCUGGUAAUUGGCUAGCAGCAGACCCCAGUAGCUUGCAAUAGAAAUCCAUAAUUUCCCUUUUUAUGCCUUCUUGAUCCUGCACCAUGUUCUCCUCAGCAUUUAUUAGACUUUUGAUCUUGUUUUGUGUCAUUCUAUUCUUCAUGUUAGCAAAGAAAAAAAAGCAUUAUUUGAAUCACCUAGUUUUAACCACUGCAUUCGAGCCUUCUGACGGAAUAUGUUUUCCUCUAUAUUGCUCCAUUUCUCUAGCUCUGCUUUAAUUGCUACUUCUUGAUCAAACAAUGUAUGCCCAGGUCCCUCAUUUGAGUUUGCAGGUCUGCUAAUUGUUGUCUUAGCAUACUCACUUUCUCACUUACCCCAUUAAAACCCCGAUUCAAUUUCUUCAUCUCCUGUUUCACUGUUUUCAGCUUCUGCCAUAUUUUAUUCGUACCACUUUCAUUAGUCAUUUGGUUCCAAGAUGCUUCCACAGCCUUAAUGAAGUUCUCAUGAUCAGCUAGACAAUUAAGGAAUCGAAAAGGCCUGGGUCUUCUUUGUAGCUCUUCUUCCAGCUUGCUUCAUAGGGGAGAGUGGUCUAAGAAAUGUGGAUCCAUGAUGUUGGCCUCCAAGUGAUGAUUUUUGAUACACCAUUCUGAGUUUAUCAGUGCUCUAUCAAUCUUGCUAUAGACGUGUGUAUUUGUCCAAGUAUACUCUCUUCCUACUGAUUUCAUUUCAGUCAUUCCAGUAUCAAAGAGAAAGUCACUAAAAUCUUUAGUUUCCAUCCCAGUGACAGGGUUACCAUACUUUCUAUCUUCAAUCUGUAGAACUACAUUGUAAUCACCCAUGACAAGCCAAGGGUCCUGCUGUGAUCUCUGUAUAUUCCUUAAGCCAUCCCACAGUUCUCUCCUAUCUUCUAUUGUGUGCAAACCAUAUACAGUUGUAAACUGAAACUCCAUGGCCAAGUUACACACUUUAAUUUUACCAUGAAUAAAUUGUUCUGCAGUCUGCUCGACAUCAAAUUAACAAUAUAGCUCUCUUCUAUCUCCAAGUUUAACUCAAACAUAGCUCUCUUCUUUCUUUCUUUUUUUGGCGGGGGCGGGGGGGGGGGUAGGGAGGGGUGAAGCAGUAUCAAACUAAAAUACCCAACAAACAUUAGAUCGAACUAAUCCAUUGACACAAAUUAAAUGAUUCAUAGGAAAAAAUUAAGUUAGUUGGGCCCGGAGACAGUGCCAGUUUUCGAAUACGAGAUAAUUAUCCUAGUCACUAUGAGCGUAUUUGCCCAAUAGACAAGUUCUUAAAAUACAUAAAAUUAUAGGAUUUGGCUGUUUCACUAACCUGGUUCAUUUUUAUUUUUUGUUUUGUUUAUUUUUUGUUAAUCUUGUCCUAAAUGAAAGUUUGCCCACUUGCCCAAAAAAGUGAAAUAAUCGAAGACAGAACGUACAAGGAAAGGAAAGGAGUGAAAAUUCCAUCAAAGAUUGAAAAUCGAAGAAUGGAGAGGAACAAACGGCGGAUAAACGGUGUUUGUUGCUGCUUUUACAAGUCUGCAACUAAACUGGUCUCGUAAAUAUUAAUAGCAGACAUUGGAACAAACAGCAAUAUUAUCAGUCAGAAAAAAAUCUCAAACAUCCAUAAAUUUUUAAGGCGUACUGCGUUGCUUGCCCUCUACAAUAUAUAGCUUUGAUUGAACGGUAGGAAUGUAGUUUUAGCAUUAAUACACAAACUGAAUCACAUUUACUCAGCUAUAUAUAUUCGACUGAUUUAAAUCCAUAACAUAUGUCUUUUAGGAAUUGAGGUGCUCUUUAUUUGUAAUCUUUUUGGUAUGUCAAUGGUAAUUCACAAUGGUUACCAAAAAAAAAAGAAUUUAAUAAGUUUAAGCAUAAGGGUAUUUGUUUAAAAUUUUCUUUACACUUAAUUAAGACUCCACUAAUUGGAGCAAUAAGAGUGACUUUGACAAAAACAUGAUAAAUGCUUUUUUUUUAAAAACGUCAAAAAUAUUCUCUAUGUGCAAUAUUUUCUGUUUUGUAAGAAAAUUAUUUAAUAGCCUUAAUCAUAAAAAAUACUUUCUAAAUUAUACUCAUGUUGUAUCUCUCUAUAAACAUCUUAAUUAAAACUUUACUAAUUGAAAUAAUAAUAGUAGACCAGUUUGCCAUAAUGAUAAAUAUUUGGAAGGGGAGAAAGUAGUUAACUAGUUCCUUAAGGUAGCAACUUGAAGCUGCAUAAUAGAAAUUUAAGAUAUUAAAAUGAAGGGAAAACCAGAUCCGAUAUUUGCUCUCUAACAAUAUAAUACUCCCACUGUCACUAAUAUUUCACAGUUUACUAGAGUGGUUAUUGAGCGUUUGAAUUGGUUCAACGAGCCUAAAUUUAAUCCAAACAAAGAUUCCACCGAGACUUUAGAACACAUCUCUUGGCUCUGACAGCUCAACGUAAUUAAUAAGAAGAAUAGAGAUUGAUUUACUGAACUAUGUUGUUUUGCUCCCAAAUUUAUAACUGUUGAAUGUUGAGGGAUACGCUUAAUUGUAUUUGUUGUGUGAGUGAAAUAUUGUUAUGCAUAAUGUGUGCUUAACACGCCUCAGCUAAGUACUAUUCUCCAUAUUUUUCUAACAGUGUGAUGCAGGGGCGUAUGUAGCUUAAGGGAGAGUUCGGAACCAAAAUGUGGUUCUUUUGGACUCAAAGAACGAAAAUAUGUGGAAAAAAAACUCAGUGACCAAAAUACAUAUAGCAUUUUUAGUACCACGCUAUACUUUAACGGCCGUUUGGCCAGUUAAGAAUAGUUUUUUCUUCAAAAAAUGCCAUAUAUAUAGUGUUCUUUAGUAAAAUGCUAUAUAUAUGAAGUGGGCCCAUAAAUAAUUCUUCUGUGCUUAACUGACAUAACGAUAAUUCAACUGGGUAUAACAUUUUUUUAAAAGAUGCUGUACCUCAAAUAAUUGAACCCCCGGACUAGUUUUCGCCUUAUUUAAAGAGGUGAAGGAUUUUGUAAAAAUCCAUUCAUAAACAUUUUCAAGUAUUCUGAAAUUUUUCUUUGUUAAGUUGUUUUGCAUUUUGUCAUAAUGUCUGAAGAGCGAAAAAUUAGGGUUUCAGUAUAUUGAGGGGGUGAGGUUGUGGUGGCGAAUAACUCAGUAAAUUAUAGUUUAUCUCCAUAGUCUUAUGUUAAAUUGUCACUUACAAUAGAGUACGAUAAAUUAGUAUUGUUGAUAUGUAAAAAAAAUGAGUGUGAGCAAACGUUCAGUGAAUCUUAAAAUAAUCGAAAAAUAUCCGUAUUCUGUGACUCCGCAAGGGGUUGCUUGCUAUGUUGAGUUUAACAUCGAAGGCAUGAAACUCCGAGAGAUUUUUUCGGGACUCCGGAUACCGGGAAUUUAAUUUAUUGUGAUAAAGCUGUUGGAAAUGUACGUCAAGGCUGAAGGCGUUCGCAAUAAUGAGGUUGCGCAAAGUAGGAAAAUCCCUCAAUCAUCGGGUGGUUAUUUUGGAGCAGUUUUAGCCGAACAGGUUCCGGCUGAAAGAGUUUGGCCGGAUCUAAAUUUAUCUCCACGGGCGAAUAAGAAGCGAGGAAAUAAUUUCUCCCCUAGUAUACAUAAUCCACAAGCUGAGUGGUAUACUUCAAUUUUCCUUUGUGUUACGAUGUAUAUUUUUGUGUAUUGUAUUUGUAUUAACAUUCAUAUAUUCUACAGGGGGUACCGACCAGAUAUGAAUUUUACAAGUUAUGAACCAACGGCCAAUUGAAAUAUGCCUAGUUUUGGUGUGUUGGAUCAUGAUGGUCCAUCCGGGAGUCAGCAUCAACAAGAUAAUGUGCAUCAUGAGAUAUCAACACAUUAUGAUUUGUAAGUGAAUAUAUAAAGUUAUAUGUAUUGUUUAGACCAAUUUCAGUAACUCAUUAUUUCUUUGGUUGUGCAGUGAAAACGAGCAAUUUGAUGGUCCUAUCUUCACUUAAUUACCUGAAGACGACGUAUUUACUCGGUAUCUGGCAGAUGUGCAGAGGCAGAAAAAGAAUAGUGAUUAUGAAAAUAAUACCGAUGAGUCUGGAGAUGACACACCCUUCCCUGACGAGGGUGAUGAUGAGGAGGAAGAGAAUGCCGGACCUGGUUUGACGAGGAAGCAUGCUCCACCUCCCGUUUGACCAAGAGUGUAUGAGUCCCACGUGUCGUUUCAUGAUGAGAUUUUUUUUUUUUGAUUUUUUACUCAACAAGUCUGUUAUUUUAUAUGUUAGUUUAUUAUUGUAUAUGUUAGUUUUAUUAUUUAAUAUGUUAGUUUUAUUAUUUAAUAUGUCUGUUUGUUUGUUAUUGACUUAUUUUUUACUAUACUAAAAUGAAAUAAUUAAUUUUCAUAACUAUAGAAGAUUUAAUUAUUAAAUAUUCACAUUUUGAUUUCGGACACAAUAUUUGAGGCCUAGCAGCGCCAAUGUAUCAUGAAUUCUUACGUUUGUUGACUAUAAUUGGAGAUAAUUUGUGUUUGAAUAUCAGCUUUUUGACGUCUUUUUGGGAAUAAGAGAUACUUAAAUGAUUCAUUUUUAUAACUACAAGGAUACUACGCUAAAGGGCACUACGUUUUACUACGCUAAAAGGUCACUACAUUACAAAUGCGAACACUACAUUAGGCCACAAGAUACCACUACAGGAAACUAAAGUAAAAAUUUAUCUAGUUUACUAGUCUUUUAGCAAAUUAAUAAUCUAAAUCGGAUAAAAAUAAUAAAUCAAUUUAAUCACAAAACAAUCACGAAAUUACAUAUACCACAGUAAAAAAAUAACUAAUUAAUAUUUUUUUAACAACUAAUAGCAAUUUCUCUAUUUUUUUAGCACACUAAUACUAUAGUCCGGACAAAAAAUAACAAAUUAGUUAAAUCGCAAAACAAUCACAAAGUAACAUAGAGCACAUAAAAAAUAACUAAUAUGCAUUUUUAUACAGGUUUUAACAAAAACUAAGCUGGAAUACCUUGAUUUAAGGUUUUUAAGAAAGUCAAAGAUUGUGAUUUGGAGCCGAAACAAGCAACAAUGUCCGGUAUAACGCCUUAGCUAGCACGUGGGACCGAGAAUCUUUACUUUUUGUGGGACGGGUGGGCUCCACUCAAGCUUUUUUGGAUUAAAAAUUGGGGGGGGGGGGUCGAUUUACUGGGAUUCUGUUUUGGGGAAGAUGGAGACCGUUUUUUAUUAUAUAUAUAGCGUCUUUUGUUAAGACGCUAUAUAUAUAACGCCUUAACAAAAGGCGCUAUAUUUUCUCGCUUAAAUUAAUUCAAAUAUAGCGUCUUUCAAAAAGACGCUAUACUUAAUUGGCCAAAUAGACGUUAAGGUAUAGCGUUUUUCAAAAAAAAAAAACUAUAUAUAUUUUGGUCACUAAGUUUUUUUUCCGUAUAUUUUUGUUCUUUGAGUCCAAAAGAACCGUAAAAAUUGCACGGGGUGCCCUAUUUGGUCGCCUCCAUUUAACCUAUACCCUAAAAACUUUUAAGUUGUACCCACUUUUUAAAUAACUUCAGCCCCUUUUCUCCUCCUCAUUCUCUUCCUUUCUUCUGCUGCUAUUGGCGUAGAUUAUUUUUUAGGUAAAAUUUCUUUUAAACUAUUGGUGCAUAGAAGUUAAAACUUUCUUUUGUACCUUUAUAUGAUUAAAAAAGAAAUUAUUUUCCAUAGUUUCUUUUGUGAGUGAAACUAUCAAGAUACCAUUGUUAAGUGACGACGUCUUUGCAUUUUAAUCGUAUUACGGAGCUCAUUAUUUGUUCUCGCAAUUAGGGAUGAUUAAUUUGCAUUUAUUUACUUCUUUUUUGGGAUUGUUUUGAUAAAUAUUAUUAAGGUGAAAGUUGUUUCUUGUAAAGAUAAAUUGAGUAUGUUAGCACAUAAAAAUUCUUGAGCCCGAUGCUGAGAUUUUACCCCAAAGAUUUUAACAAACUAGCAAGUUGUUUGAUGGAUGGAUCCCCAGCUUAUUUGAGCAGAUCCUAUUCUAAAGCUAGCUUCCAAAUAACUUCAGCUCUAGAGUUGAAGUUCGACAGUUACAAAAUAAAAACUUCAGGUCUAGAGCUGAAGUUCAUCAGUUACAAAAAUAAAAAUUUCAGCUCUAGAGCUGAAGUUCGCUAGUUACAAAUAAAAACUUCAGCUCUAGAGCUGAAGUUCGACAGUUACAAAACAAAAACUUUAGCUCUAGAGCUGAAGCUUACAAACAAAAUCUCCAGUUACAAAUAAAAACUUCAGCUCUAGAGCUGAAGUUCGACAGUUACAAAACAAAAACUUCAGCUCUAGAGCUGAACUUCAGGCCUGACUACUAGAAUGCUGAAGUUUUGCGUGAUUGCCUUUGCUAUUUCAGCCCCGUAUGCUGAAGUUAUGCGAAAAAACGAGUACACUUGCAAUUUUUUUGCAAAGCGAGCACACGUUAAAACGUGACACAAAAAACGGGUAUAUAUGCAAAUGCCCCAAAAGAACCACAUUUUGGACUCCUUAAGGGUUAUGAGUUCACUUGAACUCAUACUCCUUUCCUUAAACAAUGCAUAAUAAUAUUAUAUUUCGUUAAAAUUACUUAAAUAUAUGUGUGUGCACUCAUGCUUAAAAACUCCUAUAGUGUAAGAAUUACUGUGUGUACCUCUACAAGUGAAAUUGAUAGUUCAAAUUCCACUUUGGACGAUCUUGUUUUUGGCACGGAGUAUGUAUAUAUAUAUAUGUGUGUGUGCGCGUGUGAAAAUCACUAAAAUUUCGAAAAUAAUAUAAUUUUGAACCUAUAAUUUCAAAAGUGUAGUGGAUUUAUGGUAAGAAACUAAAGUUAAACCGCCAAAUAUAAAUCCUUGAUAAAUCUCUUCACAAUAGUGCACCUAUCAUCUUGAAAUCUUGCAUUCGCCUGGCGGAACUUAUCUAACAAAACGGUCUUGCCCCCUCCAAACAUUUAAACUAUACGAUUUAGUAGAUGCUUAAUUAAUAUCACGACUCACGUCUGAUUGAGACUAGCAUAGAGACUGCCGUAAAAAUUUAAAUCUCACAUUUCAAUUACUCCUCUAUAAUAAGCACUAAAGUUUAAAGAUCACCCUUUUUUCAGUUAAAGAUGACAUUUGACAAACUAAAAAGAGGUAAAAAGUUAAAAAAGGAGGUAUAACACUAGAUAAAUCUCCAGAUCUCCUUUAACUCGAGAUCCUUGAUUUCGUUUAAAAAUUGUUAAUUUAUUUUGAAUUAAUAUUGUUUAAGGGUCAAAUCUAAUGUAUUCAUUAUGUACGAUACAAUAUUGUCAAAAGAGUGAUAACUAACUUUAAGUAUUGAAUAAUUUCAGCUUUUGAAAUACCAGCUUUUGAAUAAUUAUUAAUUAUUUUCACAUUUUUAGACUCCUACAAGAACACUUUGAUAUUUGUGCGACAAGUGCAAGUGCAUCAGGGUUUUCCUUUUUUGAACUAUACAAUUAGUUGACCAAUUUUUAAAAAAUAUACAGUUAUACUAAGUUUAAACAGUCACAAAACGAUAGUGGGUGCAAUAGUUUUUCCUACAUACUAGUUCAAAUUUUUUUUACUGCCUUGCCAGUAGUUCAAAUACCAGAAAUCAGAUAAACAAAGGUAAAUUAGAUUCAAAAUUUUAAGUUAUGAAGUUGACCUUUGACAAAUAUAUGAUUUUAUUAACUAAAUCACUAACUUUCAUUAGAAAAAUAUCAAAAAGAAGAAGCCUGGAUGCAGCAUCUGUGCCAAUGGUAUCCAAUAUUUUCAACACAUAGCUUGAAUAUAUAUGUGAAAUUAAUGCAAUUUCGACAAAUAUUGAAUUUAAACCUAUAAUUUGAAAAGAACGACUAGUCAAGUGCUAUAUAUUUUUGAAGGUUGAAUUCAUCAAAAUUAAAAUCUGGAUCUGGUUCAAGACAGAGGCGGAUGAAGUGAUUAAGUAUCGGGUUCAGCUGAACCUAGUACUUUCGAUGCAUAACAUAAAAAUAUUAUAACAAAUAUCCCAUAUAUAAAGGUUAUUGACACUUAUUUUUUUGGGGGUGAUCUUGGACAACAUGCACAUGAAAUCGAACGGCAUAGAAAUUGAAAUUACCUAUACUUAUUAUUAUCAUAUGAAACUACACUCUACUUCUAUUAUUUGAGAAGGCUCCUAUUUAUGAACAUAGGACUUAGGGAAACUGCAUUAAUGGCAAGAAGAAUCCAAACAGCACCAUAUAUAGUUGCCAUUCUGCUGAUUACCGUUCUUGACUCGUGUUAUUCCUCUGUUCUUCCACCGUUUCUUCUCAGCUUUAUUUUCAAAAAAAAAACUUCCCUCCUCUUUAGAUUUCUUAUUCAGUGAAAAAAUAGUGAAUAGACAAAAAUGGAGACAAGCUCAGUUUCCAAGUUCUUCAUAGUUUAUACUAUUUCAUUGCUAAUGGUAGCUCAGUUGAUUUGGUGCAAAGUCACUUAUGAUAAGAAGGCCAUUAUUAUUAAUGGCCAAAGAAGAAUUCUUCUUUCUGGCUCCAUACACUAUCCCAGAAUAGGGCUGUAUUUUGUNNNNNNNNNNNNNNNNNNNNNNNNNNNNNNNNNNNNNNNNNNNNNNNNNNNNNNNNNNNNNNNNNNNNNNNNNNNNNNNNNNNNNNNNNNNNNNNNNNNNNNNNNNNNNNNNNNNNNNNNNNNNNNNNNNNNNNNNNNNNNNNNNNNNNNNNNNNNNNNNNNNNNNNNNNNNNNNNNNNNNNNNNNNNNNNNNNNNNNNNNNNNNNNNNNNNNNNNNNNNNNNNNNNNNNNNNNNNNNNNNNNNNNNNNNNNNNNNNNNNNNNNNNNNNNNNNNNNNNNNNNNNNNNNNNNNNNNNNNNNNNNNNNNNNNNNNNNNNNNNNNNNNNNNNNNNNNNNNNNNNNNNNNNNNNNNNNNNNNNNNNNNNNNNNNNNNNNNNNNNNNNNNNNNNNNNNNNNNNNNNNNNNNNNNNNNNNNNNNNNNNNNNNNNNNNNNNNNNNNNNNNNNNNNNNNNNNNNNNNNNNNNNNNNNNNNNNNNNNNNNNNNNNNNNNNNNNNNNNNNNNNNNNNNNNNNNNNNNNNNNNNNNNNNNNNNNNNNNNNNNNNNNNNNNNNNNNNNNNNNNNNNNNNNNNNNNNNNNNNNNNNNNNNNNNNNNNNNNNNNNNNNNNNNNNNNNNNNNNNNNNNNNNNNNNNNNNNNNNNNNNNNNNNNNNNNNNNNNNNNNNNNNNNNNNNNNNNNNNNNNNNNNNNNNNNNNNNNNNNNNNNNNNNNNNNNNNNNNNNNNNNNNNNNNNNNNNNNNNNNNNNNNNNNNNNNNNNNNNNNNNNNNNNNNNNNNNNNNNNNNNNNNNNNNNNNNNNNNNNNNNNNNNNNNNNNNNNNNNNNNNNNNNNNNNNNNNNNNNNNNNNNNNNNNNNNNNNNNNNNNNNNNNNNNNNNNNNNNNNNNNNNNNNNNNNNNNNNNNNNNNNNNNNNNNNNNNNNNNNNNNNNNNNNNNNNNNNNNNNNNNNNNNNNNNNNNNNNNNNNNNNNNNNNNNNNNNNNNNNNNNNNNNNNNNNNNNNNNNNNNNNNNNNNNNNNNNNNNNNNNNNNNNNNNNNNNNNNNNNNNNNNNNNNNNNNNNNNNNNNNNNNNNNNNNNNNNNNNNNNNNNNNNNNNNNNNNNNNNNNNNNNNNNNNNNNNNNNNNNNNNNNNNNNNNNNNNNNNNNNNNNNNNNNNNNNNNNNNNNNNNNNNNNNNNNNNNNNNNNNNNNNNNNNNNNNNNNNNNNNNNNNNNNNNNNNNNNNNNNNNNNNNNNNNNNNNNNNNNNNNNNNNNNNNNNNNNNNNNNNNNNNNNNNNNNNNNNNNNNNNNNNNNNNNNNNNNNNNNNNNNNNNNNNNNNNNNNNNNNNNNNNNNNNNNNNNNNNNNNNNNNNNNNNNNNNNNNNNNNNNNNNNNNNNNNNNNNNNNNNNNNNNNNNNNNNNNNNNNNNNNNNNNNNNNNNNNNNNNNNNNNNNNNNNNNNNNNNNNNNNNNNNNNNNNNNNNNNNNNNNNNNNNNNNNNNNNNNNNNNNNNNNNNNNNNNNNNNNNNNNNNNNNNNNNNNNNNNNNNNNNNNNNNNNNNNNNNNNNNNNNNNNNNNNNNNNNNNNNNNNNNNNNNNNNNNNNNNNNNNNNNNNNNNNNNNNNNNNNNNNNNNNNNNNNNNNNNNNNNNNNNNNNNNNNNNNNNNNNNNNNNNNNNNNNNNNNNNNNNNNNNNNNNNNNNNNNNNNNNNNNNNNNNNNNNNNNNNNNNNNNNNNNNNNNNNNNNNNNNNNNNNNNNNNNNNNNNNNNNNNNNNNNNNNNNNNNNNNNNNNNNNNNNNNNNNNNNNNNNNNNNNNNNNNNNNNNNNNNNNNNNNNNNNNNNNNNNNNNNNNNNNNNNNNNNNNNNNNNNNNNNNNNNNNNNNNNNNNNNNNNNNNNNNNNNNNNNNNNNNNNNNNNNNNNNNNNNNNNNNNNNNNNNNNNNNNNNNNNNNNNNNNNNNNNNNNNNNNNNNNNNNNNNNNNNNNNNNNNNNNNNNNNNNNNNNNNNNNNNNNNNNNNNNNNNNNNNNNNNNNNNNNNNNNNNNNNNNNNNNNNNNNNNNNNNNNNNNNNNNNNNNNNNNNNNNNNNNNNNNNNNNNNNNNNNNNNNNNNNNNNNNNNNNNNNNNNNNNNNNNNNNNNNNNNNNNNNNNNNNNNNNNNNNNNNNNNNNNNNNNNNNNNNNNNNNNNNNNNNNNNNNNNNNNNNNNNNNNNNNNNNNNNNNNNNNNNNNNNNNNNNNNNNNNNNNNNNNNNNNNNNNNNNNNNNNNNNNNNNNNNNNNNNNNNNNNNNNNNNNNNNNNNNNNNNNNNNNNNNNNNNNNNNNNNNNNNNNNNNNNNNNNNNNNNNNNNNNNNNNNNNNNNNNNNNNNNNNNNNNNNNNNNNNNNNNNNNNNNNNNNNNNNNNNNNNNNNNNNNNNNNNNNNNNNNNNNNNNNNNNNNNNNNNNNNNNNNNNNNNNNNNNNNNNNNNNNNNNNNNNNNNNNNNNNNNNNNNNNNNNNNNNNNNNNNNNNNNNNNNNNNNNNNNNNNNNNNNNNNNNNNNNNNNNNNNNNNNNNNNNNNNNNNNNNNNNNNNNNNNNNNNNNNNNNNNNNNNNNNNNNNNNNNNNNNNNNNNNNNNNNNNNNNNNNNNNNNNNNNNNNNNNNNNNNNNNNNNNNNNNNNNNNNNNNNNNNNNNNNNNNNNNNNNNNNNNNNNNNNNNNNNNNNNNNNNNNNNNNNNNNNNNNNNNNNNNNNNNNNNNNNNNNNNNNNNNNNNNNNNNNNNNNNNNNNNNNNNNNNNNNNNNNNNNNNNNNNNNNNNNNNNNNNNNNNNNNNNNNNNNNNNNNNNNNNNNNNNNNNNNNNNNNNNNNNNNNNNNNNNNNNNNNNNNNNNNNNNNNNNNNNNNNNNNNNNNNNNNNNNNNNNNNNNNNNNNNNNNNNNNNNNNNNNNNNNNNNNNNNNNNNNNNNNNNNNNNNNNNNNNNNNNNNNNNNNNNNNNNNNNNNNNNNNNNNNNNNNNNNNNNNNNNNNNNNNNNNNNNNNNNNNNNNNNNNNNNNNNNNNNNNNNNNNNNNNNNNNNNNNNNNNNNNNNNNNNNNNNNNNNNNNNNNNNNNNNNNNNNNNNNNNNNNNNNNNNNNNNNNNNNNNNNNNNNNNNNNNNNNNNNNNNNNNNNNNNNNNNNNNNNNNNNNNNNNNNNNNNNNNNNNNNNNNNNNNNNNNNNNNNNNNNNNNNNNNNNNNNNNNNNNNNNNNNNNNNNNNNNNNNNNNNNNNNNNNNNNNNNNNNNNNNNNNNNNNNNNNNNNNNNNNNNNNNNNNNNNNNNNNNNNNNNNNNNNNNNNNNNNNNNNNNNNNNNNNNNNNNNNNNNNNNNNNNNNNNNNNNNNNNNNNNNNNNNNNNNNNNNNNNNNNNNNNNNNNNNNNNNNNNNNNNNNNNNNNNNNNNNNNNNNNNNNNNNNNNNNNNNNNNNNNNNNNNNNNNNNNNNNNNNNNNNNNNNNNNNNNNNNNNNNNNNNNNNNNNNNNNNNNNNNNNNNNNNNNNNNNNNNNNNNNNNNNNNNNNNNNNNNNNNNNNNNNNNNNNNNNNNNNNNNNNNNNNNNNNNNNNNNNNNNNNNNNNNNNNNNNNNNNNNNNNNNNNNNNNNNNNNNNNNNNNNNNNNNNNNNNNNNNNNNNNNNNNNNNNNNNNNNNNNNNNNNNNNNNNNNNNNNNNNNNNNNNNNNNNNNNNNNNNNNNNNNNNNNNNNNNNNNNNNNNNNNNNNNNNNNNNNNNNNNNNNNNNNNNNNNNNNNNNNNNNNNNNNNNNNNNNNNNNNNNNNNNNNNNNNNNNNNNNNNNNNNNNNNNNNNNNNNNNNNNNNNNNNNNNNNNNNNNNNNNNNNNNNNNNNNNNNNNNNNNNNNNNNNNNNNNNNNNNNNNNNNNNNNNNNNNNNNNNNNNNNNNNNNNNNNNNNNNNNNNNNNNNNNNNNNNNNNNNNNNNNNNNNNNNNNNNNNNNNNNNNNNNNNNNNNNNNNNNNNNNNNNNNNNNNNNNNNNNNNNNNNNNNNNNNNNNNNNNNNNNNNNNNNNNNNNNNNNNNNNNNNNNNNNNNNNNNNNNNNNNNNNNNNNNNNNNNNNGUUAGGACCGCGGGCCCGGUCCGGUCCGGUUCAGGCCCGGCCCACCGAGCAGCAUUAUCCCAGAAGCACCCCUGAGGUACUCUCCCAUUUUCAUAGCCCCCCCCCCCCCCUUCCCUCCCCCUCCCUUUCUUCCCGAUCGUCCUUAAUUGUACCAUGUUCCACCACGCCCCGCAUGUGUUAGCUUGAUUCCUUUUCUUGGUCCAAACACGUGUAAAUUCUUUUUGCUAUGGGUGGCGGAUGAGAUUUGAAUCCGGAAAUGUGCCUUUGCUCUUAUACCAUUUUAGAUUAUGUGUACAUUUAUCUAAAGUUUAAACUGAGAACACACUUUUAAUUAUUUUAAUUGUAUUAUGUCUCAACAGUUUUGCCGAACCCAAGUUGCUUAGGACUGAGGCAUAGUUGUUGUUGUUUAUGUCUCAAUAGUUUUGGCCGACCCCAAGUUGCUUGGGACUAAGGCAUAGUUAUUGUUGUUGUUUAUGUGUCAACAGUUUCCAUUACUAUAUUCUUGGACGGAUAAUGUUACUCUACUAUAUUAAUAAGGAUAAAUUUUAAUUAAAUGGGUGUUUUGCAGAUGUGGGAAGAUCUCAUAAACAAGGCUAAAGAUGCAAACUUGGAUGUCAUUGAAACUUAUGUUUUUUGGAACAUACAUGAACCUUCCCCAGGCAAUGUGAGUGUUUCAAUUUGCCCACAAAGACUUAGCUUCUUACUGCUGAAAGAUGUCACCUUUAUUUCUGCUAGCAUAUUGCUACUAAUAUGCUAUGUUUCUUUUGGACAGUAUGAUUUUGAGGGGAGAUAUGAUCUUGUAAGGUUUAUAAAAACUGUGCAAAAAGCUGGCCUUUAUGCACAUUUGCGCAUUGGACCUUAUGUUUGUGCUGAGUGGAAUUUUGGGUAAUAGAUUGUCUUUCCCCUUUGUUUUUUGUUCCUAGUUCCCCUUGUUAUUUCUUUGAUUUUCUUGGUUAAUUUCAAGAAUGAGUUCAUGAUUCUAUAUAUCUUUCAUCUACUGCAGAGGAUUUCCUGUAUGGUUGAAAUAUGUUCCUGGUAUCAGCUUCAGAACCGAUAAUGAACCUUUUAAGGUUUGUCCGUCAUAACAGUAGAAUCACAAAACUAUCUUUUGUCACAUUAAAGUAACUAAACAUUACCCGUUAUUAUGCAAACAAAGCACCAAUUUUGCCGAUAUUUGAACAUGUUUGUUCGUAGCAUCAUUGUUUCUGUUUGUUUUUGACUCUGAUAAAUAUAAUGUGGUAAUAAAUUGAUAGAUUCUGAUCAUGAGUUGCAGUAAUGACAUUUCAAUUCUUUUUGUUGUAAAGGCGGCGAUGCAAAAAUUCACCCAAAAAAUAGUUGAGAUGAUGAAGAGUGAAAGACUGUUUGAAUCCCAAGGAGGUCCCAUUAUACUGUCUCAGGUAUGAAACUGACACAGUAGUGGUGCUUUGAAACUUAUCGAACUUCUGUUUUCUGAAUGCAUGAUAUAUUGCACAGCUGUUCUGCAAGUAUUCUAAAUUUGUUUUGGUUAGAUUGAAAAUGAAUAUGAACCAGCAAGGAAGGCGCUUGGAACGGCUGGCGAAGCAUAUGUCCAAUGGGCUGCACAAAUGGCUGUUGGAUUAGAUACUGGAGUUCCCUGGGUUAUGUGCAAAGAGGAUGAUGCCCCUGAUCCUAUCGUGAGUUUUCUUCACCUUAUUCUCAGUUUUGGUUAUUCACUUAUACAUUGUUAUCUCGGAUUUAGGAAUAAUGUUCUUGAAACCAUUGACUGAGGAUUCUAAGCAUGUGUCUUGAUCAGAUAAAUACAUGCAAUGGUUUUUACUGUGACGAAUUUUCUCCCAACAAACCUUACAAGCCAACUAUGUGGACUGAAGCUUGGAGUGGCUGGUAAUUAUCUUGUUUCUCAAAGACUUGAGUAAUGCAAAUAUAUGCUCAUUUUUAUGAACUGAUUCUCAUAUUCUUCUUUGUUGAGAGAAGGUUCACUGAAUUUGGUGGCACUAUACCUAUGAGGCCAGUUCAAGAUUUGGCAUUUGCGGUUGCACGGUUCACACAAAAAGGUGGCUCAUUUGUUAAUUAUUACAUGGUAAAUGAACUUCCUCAGCAAAAAGAAAAUGCAACAUUCAUAUUGAACAUGUUAUACAUGAUCUUGAUUGACGUAACUAUUUCUUCGCUUUCUUGCCUUAACUAUUCCUUCUUUUCACAGUUUCAUGGGGGAACCAACUUUGGACGCACAGCGGGAGGACCUUUUAUAACAACAAGCUAUGAUUAUGAUGCUCCGAUUGAUGAAUAUGGUGAGAUUAAUCAGUUUAGUCCACAUUUUUCAGCAGAAUUAAAGCUUAUCAUGACUAGAAAGUCCUUUUGUGCAUGAAUAUGGACACAGAAUCAAAGUUAUAUAUUAGUUCACGUUAUCAUUAUCACUACGAAGACAAUGUUUAGGGCGUGUCCUUUUAUUUCAUGACAUAAUCAAACUCUAGAUUGAACUUUUGGUUAUCAGCUAACUUCUUACCCUCAUAUUUUAUCAGGUUUGAUCAGGGAGCCUAAAUACAGCCAUCUAAAGGAGCUCCACAAGGCGAUUAAACUAUGUGAACAGGCUUUAAUAUCCUCAGAUCCCACUGUUAUUUCACUAGGAAGCUCUCAGGAGGUUAGUCCUCAAUUAAUAAGGGUCAAAAAUAUUAUAUGUGUUUUACUAUUUUGUGUUGCUGAAUCAACAAAGUCAUUUAUUUUAGGCUCAUGUAUUCUCGUCUGGCAAAAGAAACUGUGCAGCAUUUCUCUCAAAUUACGACAGCAACUCUGCUGCUAGAGUAGUUUUUAACAACAAGCACUUUAAUCUUCCUCCUUGGUCCAUAAGUAUUCUUCCAGAUUGCAAGCAUGUUGCCUUCAAUACAGCAAAUGUAAGUACCUUUUUAGUAUAAUGUGCUCUUCUCGUUGUCAUUCAAUCUAUUUUUGCUGAACAGAAUUACUAGUAGUUAUGUGCUUUACCUUUCAGCUUAGUGAUUUGAAACAUCCUUUUCUUUCUAAGGUUGGGGCGCAAACUUCACAAGUGAAAAUGAUACCAACUGGUUCUCAGCUGCACUCUUGGGGGGCUUACAGCGAAGAUGUAUUUUCUCUAGAGGACGGUUCAACAUUUGCAGCUAAUGGACUAUUGGAGCAGAUAAAUAUCACCAGAGAUAACAGUGAUUACUUGUGGUACAUAACAAGGUGAAGUUCAUAUAUAAGCAGAAAAUUCAUCCAACAUGAGUACAUAAACCUUCUAAUUACAUCUAAAUAAUUUCUACUGUCCCAGAAAUGUAAGUGUAUUGCCAAAACUUCUGGGGCAAAACUUUCUCUAAUAUGAUAUUUACCUGUAAUGCAGUGUUGAUAUUAGUCCCUCGGAAUCAUUUCUGCGAGGAGGACAGAAACCGACUCUCAGUGUCCACUCAAGUGGGCAUGCAGUUCAUGUCUUUGUAAAUGGGAAACUUUCAGGAUCUUCUUAUGGUAGUCGGAGGGAUACAAAGUUCACUUUCACAGGACCAGUUGAUCUGCAGGCCGGAACCAAUAGAAUUGAGCUACUGAGCAUUGCUGUAGGCCUGCCGGUUAGUUUCUCAUUGUUACCACCUAUAAUACUUAUCUACAAGAAAGGAGAAGGCAACUUCUUCUGAUUCUUUCAUUGCUGCUAGACUACCACUGUGUAAUUAGUGAUUCAUUUCAGGCAGAAACAAAUGUCAUUCUACUUGUGUUACUCUAUGCUGCUGGACUAAUAGUUUUUCUAUCUCAAUUGAAUUUAAAUACUCUUGUUGACGUGAAGAAUAUUGGACUGCAUUACGAGGAAUGGAACACAGGAAUACUUGGGCCAGUUGUUCUUCAAGGUCUCAACCAGGGCCAUAAAGAUUUAUCGUCGCAGAAAUGGACAUACAAAGUACUGAAUCUUACCAAACUUCCAUUGUUUCUUUUGCUUUCAAAAUAUUGACAGUAAAGUUUCUUCGAAAUAUAAUAUGUUGUCGAUACUCCUUAAACAGGUCGGAUUGAAAGGAGAAGCAAUGAACUUGAUCUCUCAUCAUGGAGUGUCUUCAGUUGAUUGGAUUGGUGGUGCACUAGCUACCCAGGGACAGCAACCACUUAAAUGGUACAAGGUAAAAAAAAAUAGUGAUAACUGAGAAGUUUACUUUAGGUUGUAUUUUGUAGGAGUUAUAGUCAUGCUAGAGAUUUAUAUUCCCGUAGAAAAUAUAGUGAAUUAGUACUUUCUUAUUUUUUAUAAUAUCGGUUUGUGAUGAGCUUAAAUGGAGGGACAUGUUUAGUAAAGAUUCAUAUAGCAGACCCCAACUUGCAUGGGAUUGAGACAUAGUUAUUACUAUUGUUUAUAAUAGGGAUUUGUUGCUGGAACUUACGACUCGUCUUGGAAUGUAUGUUUCAGGCUUAUUUCGAUGCACCAGAGGGAAAUGACCCUGUGGCCCUAGACAUGAGAAGCAUGGGUAAGGGACAAGUUUGGAUCAAUGGACAAAGCAUAGGUAGAUAUUGGACAGCAACUGCUAAUGGCAAUUGUGAUGCUUUCCACUAUGCUGGAACUUACAGACAAACUAAAUGUCAACUUGGUUGUGGUCAACCAACUCAGAAAUGGUAGUUCUUGAAAUUUUUAUUAGUUCUGCCAUCACUAGAAGCAUGUUACUGCUUAAAUUUCCUUUGUAUCAGUAAAUACACAUUAGAAUUUCCUAACUAAUCGUUUGUCUAUUCGGCUUCUCAGGUACCAUGUCCCAAGGUCUUGGUUGAAACCAACAGAAAAUUUGGUCGUCUUGUUCGAGGAACUAGGUGGUGAUGUAUCAAAGAUAUUGUUAGUGAAAAGGACAACUUCAUGAGUUCAGUUAGUUUAGGAAACGUCACCAGUAGGAAGGAAUUCUGUAGGUUUUUGAUUAUUAGGGAUAAAUCCAUGCUAUAGAGUCACAUUUCUUGGAAAAAGCCAAGAUCUAGGAGAAUUUCUGGUUUUACAUCUAUUAGAAUAUAUACACCACUUUGCGUGGUGGAUGGAUGUAUAUGUUUGACGUCUUCUGUUCCCAGUCACAGUUUGGUGUCUCACAUUCUUUCUGACAUUGUGUAACCAAUGACCUUCAUCAAGAAAAUAACUAGACAAAAGGUCUCAAGUCAUAUUUCAUAUCCAUUUCUGAACGAGCAAAAGGGAAUAUUUAUCACUGUCCUACUAUAAACUGGAUCUCUUGCAGUCGAAAUGUAACAAAAUACGGCUCCUGUCAUAUCGAGGGUCUACCGGAAACAACCUCUCUACCUUAUGUCAUCUCUACCUUCAUAAGGUAGGGGUAAGGUCUGCGUACACAUUAUCCUUCCCAGACCCCACUUGUGGGACUUCACUAGGUUUGUUGUUGUUGUUGUUGUUGCGGCUCUUGUCAUAUGCAGCGGCAGCAAAUUUUGGUUCCCAAUGAUUUUUAAACUUGUAUCAGGCCAAGAAAUGUUGCUUGUGCAAAGGAUACACGCACACACACAUUCAGAAUUGCUCACAUAUGCUGAUAAUGUACUAAGAGCAGUGAAAGAUGUAUUAACUUGUAAAUAAGUCCAGUGCUGUCGUAGCAAAAUGGAAGCUUCACAAGAGUAAAGCUGGAAAAUAGUCUUUUGAUAGAAAUGGUUAUAUAGCCUUGCACCAUGUGCACAUAUCAGAUUCCAAACCAAAACAAAGGUUCAUAAAAGCAUGAUGUAUAAUCAACAAACAACAAUUCAUAGAUCAAAAUUCGAUCCAGGGGAGUAUAUAUGUUGCUUUAUUUAGAAUAAGCCAUUAUGCUUUGCCACUUUGCGUGGUGAAUGUAUAUGUUGGUGCAUCCUGUUCCUCAUUCUAGUGAAAUUUAUGUUCAAACAUAAAUUCUAACUUCCAAAAUAUACUUGGACUUAAAACUUAAACACUAUGUUUUACAAUUUCAACCAAAGUUAAUUGUCCAAACGCGUUCUCAAAGAUAUGCUGAGAUGCUGGAUAAUGUACCGAGAGAACCAAACGUUCAAAGCAAUUGUAAAUAAGUCAGUGCUAUCCAAGCAAAAUGAGAGCUUCACAACAGUAGAAAUCUGAAAAUAGUCUUUCUGUAGAAUUGGGCAUAUAGCCUAACAUCAGUAACACCAAAUGCACAAAUCAGAUUCCAAGCACCAAGACAAAGGUUUCACAAAAGCAAUAAAAACAUGGUGGAUAAUAAAACAUACAAUCAUCCUUACUUUGAAGUUCGAACAAGUUACUUGGUUAUUACAGAAGACAAUACUAAAUAUGGGAUUUGAUUAAGGAGAUUCAUGCUGUCACCGUAGCAGGAGCAGCAUGCUUCACUAUGGUCUGCUGCAACUCCUCUUUUUUGGCACCAACAACCCUGUCCACUUCCUUCCCAUCUUUAAGAAAGACAAAUGUUGGCAUUGCCUCCACACUCCAUUCCUCCGCAACAGUCUACAAAAAAGUACCAAGAAUCACAAUCAAUCGCUAAACAUACUAGUCAAAGUACGAUUAUUAAGUUGAUACAAAAUUUGAUUGGAGAUGUACCUUCAGUUCAUCAACAUCAACCUUGAGGAAUAUAACAUGGGGCAUCUUCUUAGCAAUCUCAGCAAGAAUUGGGGCAAUAAAACGGCAAGGGCCGCACCAGGAAGCAGUAAAAUCCACCACCACCUGAAAUAAAGAGUUGUUUUUUACAUAAGUUCGAUGAGUUAAAAGAGAAGAUUUACCCCUAACAACUUUUGAAAAUCUGAGGCAUAUUUAGAAGCUACCAUCAUUCUGCACUAUAAUUUUACCUUAUCUAACAGCUAGGGGCUGAUGUAUAGUGCCACGGCUUAUGUUCAUCUAGUUAAAGACGGGGGCAUAUCUAGUGUAGGGAGUAAAAAUUUAUAAGUAAAAAUACAUUAUAAUUGUAAAAGUAGUAGACAUAAACCCAUAACUUUAAGAAUAAUGAGUUUUUAGAUUAACCCAUAUAGUUUAAAUUCUAAAUACGCCUUUGGUUAAAGAGUUUGUAAAAUGCAUAUGCCUAUACUAGGUUUUGAAUCCAAUGUCACAAAGCAAUAGUGAUGUAUAAGAUAGAUUUAAACCAGACAAGUUCUAAAAAUCUGAGGUAUGUUUAGGUGUACUACCAUCAUUCUAUACUAUAUUUGGCGAAGCAACUAGGCUUGACAUUUAGUACCUUCGGCUCAACUUAUGUACAAACAAUUAACUUUUUAAUAAAAUAGUACUUACACUAAGUUGGACUCUAAUGUCACAAUAAAAAACAAUGGUUGCAAUUAUAUUCAUUCCACAGAGCUGAUUUAAAAUCCUAGAUUAGCUCAUCUUUAAACAACUAAAUAAUCAGAAAAGUAACAAAGGUAAGCAUGAUAUCAACUUUAUAAUUGGGUCAUGUCUUCAACAGAGAUCGACUUAUCAAUUCUUCACAUCCUCCGAAAGCGAAAAAUUGCAGAAAUAUGACACCAUAAGAGGUGGUCUUGAAUUUUUGUGCCGGGCUUGGCGUAGCUGGUAAAGUUGCUACCAUGUGACCAGGUAAAGUUGCUGGCUCGAGAGCCGUGGAAACAGCCUCUUGCAGAAAUGCAGGGUGCAGCCGGCUGCAUACGAUAGACCCUUGUGGUCGGCCCUGCGCGCAGGGGGAGCUAAGUGCACGCCCUUUUUUUUCUUGCCUCAUGGGCGAAACUUCAAGGUCGAAAGUCAAAAAUAGCGACCUAGCUGAACUUUUUCGUCCAACCUAACAGCAACAUAGCAACUAUAUCUAGCAAUUUGUUCCAAUAUCGCAAUUAUGCGAAUCAAUAUACUAACAGAAACAUCAAAUCAAAGGCAAACAUGUUACAAUUAACUGAAAACCAAACAACGAAUAUUAAAGGCUUAAACUUUAAGCAACAACAGAAACAGAUCAGAAAAAUGUAAGCAAACGAAACCCCAAAAUCAACAAAGUCUCAUACAAUAAAUCGCAACAACAAAAAAACCAUUUUUAAAAUCAAACAACAAACAAAAACCAGCACACAGAAUAUACUAACAAAUAAGUCAAAGUAACAAAAGCAAAAUUACUAAGAAAAAGUCAAAAGUAAUAAAACCAUACCAAUUUCUUAGUCUCCACACCUUUCUGGAAGUGCUCGUUCCAUUCCUCAAUCUUGUGGCAGCCGAACACUUGUCCCUCCUCAGAUGAAGCUGCAGCCAUUUCUCACAAAUUUCUUAGAAGCAAAAAAAUUCAAACAACCAAACAAGCCCUUAACUUUAGCUCCUCGUAAAACUAACGCUGAAUGAGAGUGUAUUCCCAAGUAGAGACUUUUAUAUAGGGACAGGGAGGUAGUAAAUUACCAAAAUGUAACUGAUUUUAAGCUUUAUUACGAAUUAACCAUACGCGUCAUAGUGUGAACACUUUACUCGGUCGGUCUAAAUUUUUUGCAAAUAUCACAUUAAGGGUCGUUUGGUAGUAGAUAUUGGAAAAAAUAAUUAGUUAUACAUCAUACUUGGUAUUAUCAUAUGUAUAAGUAAUGCAUAGAAAACUAUGACAUUAGUAAUAUCAAGGCUAUUAAUACAUGUAUUAGUAUGGUUAAAGACAAAAUUGUCCUUAAAGUCCCUUAAAGCUAAAGAAUAUGAAGAAUAUUUUUCUUAAAAAUUAUGCAAUGCAUUAUUUGUGAAAGAUUCCUGUGAAAAGUUUCAUUAACACGGAAUUCGUGUCGAGUAGAAGACUCACAAGAGGCUGUUGAAACCAGAAGAGGUCUUUAUUUUCAUUUUUUUUAUCCUAUGGAUUGUUUUAUAGCGGUACGAUUACGAUGCUUGCUCCGAAUGGAAGAGAGACAGAAGAAAUAAGAUAAGUAAUUAAUUUAGAAUUCCCCGUCGCUCAUAUUCAUUACCGUAGGAAUUGGGUUCAAGCUUUCCCCAGCCCCUUCUCAUCAAUGGACGCUUUCGGAACCAUACUUCCUACAGCUAACAUGUGUCCAGUCCAGCGGGAACGCGCAGCGCAAACGAACCUGAGCUGCUAUACCGAAUCCCCCGCUGGCCAUCGGGGGGGAUUCCUUGGAUAAAGUGGAAAAAUGCUAAGAGAAAAUAAAGAGUUAGAAAGUUAGACAAAACAAAAAGGUUUCAAAAUAGAAUCAAUUAGUUUCAAUGAGUCAUCAACAGACGCAGAAGAAAUGGAAAAAAUAGGAUUUGUGGACUCGCCUCAGGAUGGAGGGGAAGCUACUGUGGAAGAAGGCAGUUGUUGAGCAAGUGACAUUGGUUGAAGUUCAAUAUGAAUAUGCAUCAUCAACCUUUAGUGGUUUUGCCCAACCUGCUAUCCGAAAGAAAAGGGAAUGGCUCGGCUAUCCCACCUAGCCAAGCCAGAAAAAUAAAUUAGAUAAAAUGAAUUGAAAAAAAAAAGAAAAAAGGAAUACAAAAAAGGGCAUGCUUAACACAGCCUAUAGCAUAAAGGCAUUCGAGCCGCGUCUAAACUAAAUGUUGGGCAAGGGCCCGUACUCUCUCUUCUGUGGAUACGCUAUCCCUUCCGGCUAUGGUAUGGGGAAGGGG